GUUUAGACACUUUUUAAAAUUUUUAAUAUUAAAAAAUAAAAGAAAAAUUUUAAAAAAGCCCCCUGUGGUUUCGCACGUUCUGAUUUUAAUAUCCUGUGGUUUAAAAUGUAUCAAUUUGUCCUCAUGUGGUUUUAUUUUUAUAUUUUCGACAGCUUUUUUCUUAAUAUUUUGUUAAAUUAUAUACAAAAAAAAUUUAGAUACCCAUUUAGAUUUAUCGAAUAUUUACUUUAGUACUCUUUAAUUUUAAUUUUAUCACUAAUUUAAAAAAAUAAUAAUAAAAUUGAUAAUAAAAAGAGAAAAACAAAACCACAGGGAGACAAAUUGAUAAUUUAGCGGGGAAAACUUCAAAUACCACCUCUGUGGUUUCGCACUUUCUUAUUUUAGUACCCUGUGGUUUAAAGUGUAUCAAGUUAGUACCAUGUGGUUUCGCACUUUCUCACUUUAGUACCAUGUGGUUUCAAGUAUAUCAAGUUAGCAUCCUGUGGUUUCAUUUUUGUAUCAACUUAGUCCCCUGUGGUUUCAAUUUUCUCUUUUUAUUAUAUAUUUCAGGGUAUAUAAUUUAACGAAAUAUUAAAUCAUAGGGUACUAAAGUGAGAAAGUGUGAAACCAUAUGAGGGUGUUUGAAGUUUUUUCUUUUUUAAAUGAACUCUUUGGGAAGAAUCUUCUUCUCCCAUUCUAUUUAGCAAAAAAAAAAAAAAAAAAAAAAAAAGGUCCAACCAAAUCCGUAAUGACUUAAGGACAAAAAUUAAUUUCACAUAAUAAGAUAUUUUUUCUCCUAUUGUUUUCGCAUAUCUUUUUCAAAGAAAAAUCGUUUCGUACAGGACGUUGCUUCAGCUACCCAACAAACGAUGCUUGUGACACGCCGUAGUUACGUUCACAUCAUUUUUUUAAAAAAUUUUUGAUAAAUAUAAAAAACAUUAUUUUAACUAUCACAUAUUUUGAUUUAAUUAUCCAACGUUUAAAAAUUACAAUUUUACUAUCUAAUUUUUUAGUUUAUUUAAUUUAAGUGGAUUAGUAACUCUUAAAUUCUAAAAUUUAAUUGCAUUGUUUAUCAUUACAGAUUUAAUUAGUACAUUUUAUAUAAUUUAUAUACCUAUAAAUUCGUUAAAGUAAGAAAUUAGCUUAAAUUUUUUAUUAAAAAUUUCACCAAAUAAAUUAAAAAAUUGGACACUACAAUCAAAAUUUUGAAAAAUUAAUAAAUAGAAUCAAAAUAGUCAAUAGCCGAGUUAAGUUUUAUAUAUUUUUAUUUUUUUUAAUCUUAUUUACUGGCUUUUUUUUACCCUACAGAAAUGCUCUGACGAUAUAUUUUAUUUAUAUUAAAUCUAAAGUUUAAAAAUAAAUAAUGAUUCGAGCCCCCAAUCUUAUAUCAAGCAAUCCUAAAAUCUACAAAGCAAAAUAGAUUAUAAUCCUAUAGCACUCGUUCAAUGUUAAUUUUUCUCUGCUAAUCAUAUCAAUUUUUUAUUUUUUUAAAAAAGCAAAACUAUAUUUAAAAUCAUUAUUUGGUUGUGAUCUUACAACUUGUCCAUAACAAAAACUAAAAUUUUCACAAUUUUCUUUUCACUCCUUAUUUUUCUUAAUACUAAUUUUUAAAAAAAAAAAUUAUAUUUUUGGAGAAAAUUGUAGCAAACUAACUGCUUCAUUCCUUAAAAGCUUAAAACAAGGAAAAAAAAAUCGUUUGAAGUAUAAGGGAUUAUUCCCUCUUUUAUAUCCAAACACUGAUAGCUAAGAAUGAAAACAGCUGUUCGCAUCCUUAGCCGGUUAUUCUGAAAUAACCCGCUAAGGGUAGGAAUAUAGACGAAGAAUUGUAAGAUUAUAUAUCCUCCUAUGCGUAGUAGAUAUUUUUGUUUGCAGCCAUUUUAAUUCGAUUUUGAUUGUGGACUUAGCAUUGUUUUUUUAUAUUUUUGUCCAGUAAAAACUUGAAAUCAUUUGACGGUCCCACUAAAUAGAGAGAGAAAUAUCAUUUGAGGAGGAAAAUGCAUAUUAGGCGCAGGAAAUAAGGUUUUUUUUUUUUUGUGUGUGUGGAUUUUUCUCCCUAUAUUACAAGAAUAUAAACAACAAAAUAUUAAGCUUUUGUAGAGAAUACGUGAAAAUUUAGAAUUUAUAGAACCAAAUACAAAGAAAAUAAUUAUACAAAGUAUAUGUAUAUACGUAAAUUCUUUUAUACGUCUUUUUGUUUUUCUGUACCUAAGUAGGAUAAAUUAAUUUCACCAAACCUAUUUAUUGAUUAAUUAAAAGGCUUGGGAGCAAAAUAAAACUCCCCCACCCCCCCCUCUAAAGUUCAAAGUAAAAAAAAUUCUUAAUUUGACUUUUAAAAAGAUUCUCUGGAGGUUUCGUUAAUGAAGCUUUUUUGAUCUUAUUUGUUCUCUCAAAAUAUAGUCAAUAGUGGCUGCUUUAAAUGGUGUAAUAUAAUUAUAUAAACCAUAAAGAAAAUGUUAUUGUUUCUCCUUGUACAAAUGUAAAUUUUAAAGCUACAUUUUGCCUGCUUUUGUGGAAUAAAAGCGUGUUGAAUAAAUUAAAUACUUUUCAACUUAAAAGUUAAAACAACUAAAACAUCACAAAUAAAUUUCAAACAACUUUUUGAAAAAAUGCCAUAUGCACCGAUUUGUACGAAAAUUCUAAAACAAGGGUAGCAAAGAAACCACUGCAAAAUAAAUUAUUAUAUGGACCACGUUGAGGUUUCUAAAUCUCAAAUUUUAAGGUCUUAAAAUUCAAAUCUGAAUUUUUUUUUUUUUGAGAGAUAAAUAGCACGCUACCCACUUCCUUUUAUUUCAUUUAGAAAUAAACUUAGCUGGAAAUGUGAAUCAACUAGUAUUGGAACUUGGCUCUCGGGUACAAACCACCAAACUCUUUGCCACUUGUUCUAGGGACGGUCGGUUCAAAUGUGGAUCUUAAGUCUCAUUUAUAAUAUCUAAAUAAAUAGUUUACAUAUGAAAAUUUAUUAUUUUUGAAAAUUUUCUCUAAACAUAAAACAGUUGCAAAAAUUAGUGUGCUAAAAACAUCCAUUAUUUGUUAUUGACGUUCAGAAUAUUAGGUGCUACUAUUAGGGGUGUCAACGAGUUGAACAUAGGCGAGCUAAGGCCGGCCCGUAUUCGACUUGCUUAUGUAUCAAGCCGAAAUAUUCAACUCGUGUUCGGCUGAACACAAGCAGAAUACAAACCGGCUCAUGAACAAGUAAAAAAAAUUAUAAAAGAUACAUAUAGAAAAUAAAUUUAUGCAAUGUUACGUAUCCAUUUGACUUUGAUCUAAUAGUUGAAAUUUAAAAAUAAUCUUUUUAUAAUUGAGUUGGGCUUAAUAUUUAGGUUAGUGGUGGAACUGGGCCCGAGCCUGAACAAGGCCCGGCCCGAUGGGCCAUGCUUGGGCUGGGUUUUGGGCAAUACAAAUACAACUUUGGGUUCGGGCUGGGCUUAAAAUUUUGGGCCUGAAAAAAAUGGGGCUUAUUUGGACAUAUCCAAGCCCGGUCCGAACCCGACCCAAAAGCCCAAUAUAUUAAUUAUUAGAAAUAAUAUAUAUAUAUAUAUAUAUAUAUAUAUAUAUAUAUAUAUUAUAUAUAUAUAUAUAAUAGAUUAUUCAGGAAUACACAUUGAAUGCUGAGUUACGCAUUGAAUUUCUAGUAGUAGAUUCCAUAAUCAAAAAAGUUUUUGUGAUUGUUCCAGAAGAAAUGAAACAUUUUGAAUCUGGGCUCUUCUAUCUUCUACUUAUUUUUGAUAUUUACUUUUUUUUUUUGCUUUAUUCUUUAUUUCCACAUAAAAAGGAAAUCUUUUGUUACAAUAGAACUAGAAGUGAUGUGGAUCAUUCAAGAAUCGAAGUUGAUUUGCUUUAUAAAAAAAAGAUAUCAAUGGAUAUAUAUAUAUAUAUAUAUAUAUAUAGAGUCCGGCUACUAUGCUAUCGGUAGCAUGGAGCGCUCCAUGCUAUCAAGUUGUUUUCGAUGAUGCGGCUUCCAAAUCGACGAUCGGCUCCGUUAGACUUGAUCUACACUAUUGAAAGUAUUUAGAAGCUAAAUUUUAAUUUUUUUCUACAUCAUUUGACUAGUGAUCAAAAGAUCUCAAAAUGACAAUUUUAAUAUCGAUGUGGUGUGUUUGUGAGUUUAACGGUGUAAAACAAUCCAAAUGCGAUGAAAAUUUUAUAGAAAAUUCUUUUUACUAUUUAGAGUAAGAUUAGUAUAUCUGAUCUUGAAUUUAAAUCUUUUAUCAUUAUUUUUCAUGAGAUUUUUAUUUUCAGCCGUUCAAUUUUAGGCUACUUGUUUGAUAGGUAAAUGAUAUCGAAAAAUUAUGAAAUUUAGUUUCUAAAUACUUUCAAUAGUGUAGAUCAAGUCUAACGGAGCCGAUCGUCGAUUUGGAAGCCGCAUCAUCGAAAACAACUUGGUAGCACGGAGCGCUUUGUGCUACCGAUAGUAUAGUAGCCUAGUUAUAUAUAUAUAUAUAUAUAUAUAUAUAUAUAUAUAAAAGGAAUAAAUGAUAUAGACUACUAGACUAGAUUGAACUAAAAUCAAAUAACAAAAAUUUAUAUUAUAAAUAUAUAUAGUUAUUUAUUUAUAUAUAAAUAUAAAUUAUAUAAAUAAAAAGUAUAUGUAUUCCGGUUAUCGAGCCGAACACUAGCGAGCUGACUCCUAACUUAUAUAUAGUUCGUUUAUUAAACGAGUUGGAAAAUUCAGCUCGUGUUUGGUUUGUUUGCUAAACAAGUAAUUUAAUCUCGAACGAACUAAAUGCGAGUUGGCUCGCGAACAGCGAACUGGGUUGCCACCCUUAGCUAUGAAUAGAAACUUAUUCUCUAGAUUUUUUUUUAUUCAAGUAGUUUUUUUUUUUUUUUUGUGAUGGGAAACAAAUUAAUUUUUGUAAAGAAAACUUGCUAGGAAUGUUUUUUUCCUGUUUAUUUUGUUUUUUUGUGAAAAGACCUGUAGCCCCCUGAAGAUAUGUUGUCUCAUUUUGGUGGUAUCACAGUUUUUUAAAAAUAUAAUUUCUGCAUGAAGUAGUAUAAGAUUGCUUAUAAUCUUUACAUUUAAAAUACUUUUUUUGACAAUAAAAUAUAAAAAAUAAAAGCAACUAUCUUUUACUUUAAGUUGUCAUCCAUCAUUUUGGUUGAGAUGUAUUGCAAGUUAACAAACCAUAAUAAUAAUACAAUUUUUUUUUCUUAAAAACAAAAAAAGAAAUUUCACCUAUAUAUCAAAUUAUAUAGAAUCGGCACUAGAAAAAAGAACAACGGUGGCAAACAAGGCAUUUGAAUUUUCCAUUAGCUUUAGGGUAAAUUAUAUUUUAGGUCGUCAAACUAUAAGCAAUACAACACUUUAGUCUUUAAAUUUUAAUUUAUUAUAAUUUCUGUCUCUAAUUUUUUGAAUUGUAGGAAUCAAGGAACACAACCUAAUUUAAUUUGCCUAACUACCGAUAAAUUAUUGAUGCAGAAAUAAUAUAAAUCUUAAUUAUUAUUAUAUCACCAAUCAAAGUACCUUCACAUCCAUUCUACAGUAGUAUUAAUACUUUAUCACUGUUUUGUUAAUUAUAUUGGGUUUUGAGACUUGGUUACAAGUUAAAAUUUGGAGCACAAAGUAUCACACUCAUCAUACUUUUGAGGACCAAAAUAUUAAUUCACCCUUAGGUUCAUUACUACUAGGCCAAAUCAUCAUGGGCAUUAAAUUCUAACCAUGUGUGACAAAAUUUUAAAAUUGUGUGUGAUAAAUGUGAAACCUUUAAAGCUUAGGUAGCAAUCUGAAAAUGGAAAAUGUUAAAAAGUAAUUCUCGCGUAUUUAACCUUGUAUAAUUUAAGCUUUAUUUGAGAUUGCGGAGAGAUUACAUUACAUGCGAUGAAAAAGUACAAUAGAAAAAUCGUACGUAAUAUUGUGUUUCGCAUAUCGCGAUGAGUCAGUUACGGUAUACUUUCUAUGGCCCCAACGAAAAAUGUAGAAGUAUAUCUCCAUAUGAUUUUAUUUCAACUUUAUUUUGGGGCCGUUUGGUUGCAUGUAGUUGCAACUACAUUGCAGUUGUAACUGUAUGUAAAUGCAAAUUUCGUGUUUGCUUUGAUGUAUUUAACUCCAACUGCUGCAGUAGGAACUGCAGGAGGAGGUCCAACUGCAGCAAUUCGAAUUACGCCCAAAUUCGCCGCAGUUCCAACUGCAACAGUUGGAGAGAGUAAUUUUAAAUAAAAUGCAUGCUUACCUCCUCAAUAUUUUUUAAACAAAAAUUAUUUUUCUUUUUUACAUUGAAGGUAAUCUCACCAUCAUAUAUAUAAAAUAAUAAAAUUUUUUAAAAUUAUUUCUCAACUGCAUGCAACCAAACAAAUUAUUUAUACUUGAAGCGCUUUCUACUACAUCCAACCAAACAAGAUUCAUAUAGUUAUAACUGCUGUAUUUCUAACUGCAUUCAUUUUUAACUACACUGCAUUUAUAAUUACAUCUAAUAAAACGCCACCUUUAUUUAAUAGCAUCCAAUAGGUCUGAAUACAAAACUAAACCGGGUUUAGGCCGAUACCAAUGCCUAUUCUUUUAGGACGGGUCGGGCCGUUUUUUUGUUCAAACAGGGCGUAGUUAGGUCCAAUUCGACCCGGUCCGGCCCGGCCCAUUAUCGCGUCUAUGCACCUCCUUCUUCCUUUUCAAACAAAUGGCGCGUUCGUCGUUCUCUUCAGAACAAGAUAAGGUCUAGGGUUUCCUCUCUCACUCCCCAAACCCUAAACCCUAAACCCCAAAACCCUCUCUCUCUCUCUCUCUCUCUCUCUCUCUCUCUCUCUCUCUUCGCGAUGCUCCUCUCUUUUCGCGUCUCACCCUACCUCCCUCUCCGCCGCUUCUUUUUCUUCCUCUGCCGCAGCUCCUCCUCUUCCGCGCCGCCGCCGCUGCCCAUGGCGGGGUACAAGGAGGCCUUCGCCCGGCGCAUGGCCAUGGCCGGGAUCAAACCCCAUCAUCGCAUCGGUGAGAAAAAGGCUCCAUAUUUACCUCCCCAACACUCCUAGUUGCGCCCCAUUCAUCGCGAAUUUUUGCGUUCUUUCGCAGCUUUGGGAGUCUCCGGUGGCCCCGAUAGCAUGGCGCUCUGUGUCUUAGCGGCGGGGUGGAAAUUGGAUGGGUCGGCGCCGAAGGAUGAGGCGUCGGGAUAUAUUGAAGGGCUUUUGGGGAUUGUUGUGGACCAUAGGCUGCGGCCCGAAAGCACCGAGGAGGCGGAGAUUGUUCGAGAUAGGGUAAACAAUAUGGGUAAUUUGCAUCGUCUGGUUUCAGUGAAUUCCAAAAAAAGAUGGUUUUUUUUUUGGUCCCCAAUGUGUUUUUGUGAUUGCAGAUGAUGCUUUCGUGCAGGAAUUCGGUGCGAGAUCGCAUGUUGUAGUUGGCCCGAUGGACAGCCGAAGCAAGGCCAUUUGCAAGAAGCUGCUCGUGAGAUGAGGUUAUUUUUGUUUCCUUCUCAUAUUUGUUUCACGUUUCGGCUAGUUGCUAUCGUAUUAAUUCAUUUAUCUUGCUAUGUAGGAUCUUUAUCAGUUGUUAUAAGGUAUAGGUGGAUUCUGAACAUUUCUCAACUGAUAAUGAUAGUGUUUGUGUAAGUUGAUAAGCUGUAGGCUUGAUAUUAGUGCGCCCUUAUGUCGAAUAUCUUCAUUGAUAUUUUAUGGGUUUGAUCAUUUGUUCAAAUUGCCUAAGACUUGAAUGAUACUCUUUUAUAACCACAAACUUUGAACUUUUAAUUCUUGAUUUAGAUUUGGUGCAUGUGAUUUUCUUGCUCAAUAUUAGAAAUGCGUUUUUCGAAUUCUGUCUAUUUUGUAAUUACUCCUGUUGGGUCUUAAAUUUCAGGUAUCGUAAUUUUCAACGUGUUUGCGAACAGCAGCAGAUUGGUAUCUUGCUUAUUGCACAUCAUGCAGAUGACCAGGUCUGUGCUAGUUCUAUAUAAUUAUUCCAAUUUAUCUCUGUUCUUGGAGAUUGUAUUUAAAAGUUAUUUACGAACUACAAAAAGAAAAAGGUGUAACAUUUAUUUUCCAUAACUUGGAAUUGUAGUUAAUCUCCAUUUGCAAGUUCUAUACUCUUUUUUUUAUUUAUCUCACAGUUGCUAAUCUUACUAAUAUGUUGCAAAUACUCCAUAAAUAGAAAGUUUCCUUUUUGUCUUGUUGAAUAAAAUGAGUUUUUUUUUUUUAAAAUAAAAAUAUAAGCAUUUUUUUUUACUCAGGCAGAACUCUUAAUUCUAAGACUAUCUCGUGGUAGUGGAGUUCUCGGGCUUGCUGGCAUGGCAUUCAUUUCACAAUUGUUUCCUACACAUCUAAGAUGCUCCAGUGAAAGUCCCAGUAGUAAUGGUAUUUUACUUGUCCGCCCAAUGCUUGAGUUUUCGAAAGAGGACAUGUACAAAGUAAGUAUGCUUAUUGGAACACUCAGAUAUUUUAUUUUCCUAUUGUAGUUUAAUAUUUGGUUUCAAUUAUAAAGGACUGAGAAGGUACAUAAGCAAACCAAUCAAAGCAUUUCUAACGCUUCAACAGGGCAUAGACUGUCUAUAUUGUUUUGGGCUGGAAGCUGGAGUUGCAUACAUUUAUUGUUUUAAUGCAUGUACUACUUGCUAACAAUUCUGAGCAUCUUUAAUGUUUUGGUAUUCAUCCUCUUCUCCCCAAUCAUUUCUAAGAUUCACGUCACUACCUUCCUUUUCUGAUUCUUACUAGUUUAAUACAACCUGCAGAUAUGUCAAGGAGUUGAACAGGUUUGGGUGGAAGAUCCAACAAACCAGAACUUGUCAUUUGUACGGAAUCGAAUUCGAGCCUCAUUAACGAAUCUGUCAUCAUGUAAGAUUAUUAUUUGAAACUGAGAUUAUCCUAUUAAUGCUGAUUCGCUUAUCGAAUCGUACUUUUGUUGAUGGACAAUGGUGAAACCACAGUUAGAGACAAGAAAUAUUUGAUUAUUUCACCUUGUGCUUUGCUUUUAAUCACUUUUGUCCACAAAUGUUUCACUGAAUGGGAAUUUGAAACAUGAUUUGGAAGAAUUAACUCCCAGAAAUGAAUGGGCAUUGUGCCUUUUCUCAUCGAUUGUUCUUGUAGACUCUAAGACAUGUCCUCAUCAUGAGUAAUUUUUAAACAUCCUACUUUGUAUUUUAUUUCAGAAUGCAUCUUAUUGUUAUACGAGAACAAUAAGUUUACCACGGAUAUCGGGCUUAACUAGAAUAUACUUGGAAAACAAUUGAUAUCCUUUCUCAUUUGAACCGUGAUGUUAUAGAUAACAUCAAGCAUUAUAAAAGUUCAUGGUUAACAUUUUUCCAAGUUUCCCUUUUGUUCACAUUACAUGUUUGAUUACAGCUGACCUGGUCCGCUAUUCUCAACAAGCGGAGAGUAAGAAAGGAUGGAUUUUCUUUUUACCUUAUAUUUGUGCGCGCGUGUGUUUUUUGUUUUUGCUUUUGUAGUACAUGCCUGCUCCUCGUUGUAUAUUAUGUGAAAUUUCAUAACCAGGCUUCGUUUUUUACUUCCUUUUGUCAAUGUUAGUCUCUAGUAAGACAUGCUUCAAACCUUCUGAUCUUGCUUUAUUAGUAAUCAAGAUAUAAUAGAGCCAUUAUUUAUCCCCUCGCCAAUUUACUCAUGCAUAAGUCUCAAUAUUUAUAGUAGAUGGUUUGACAUGGUUAGUCACAAUCGACCAUCUAUUGGUUACAUUUUGGUCCUUGUUGCUUACAUCAAGCAUGCCAUCAUAAUCGAGGCUCUCCCAACAUUAUUGGGAUAGGUAGAAAAUAACUUAAUUUUAAGGAGGCUUAUGAAUGAGUUGGUAAGUUAUAAUAGGAGCUGUUUAGAGAACUCAUAUGCCUUCCUGAUUCGCUUCAAUGCAAUCAAGAGAUAUGGAAUGAAAAUUUCCGUUUGAAUUUACUUCUGGACUCCUGAUGAGCCCACUUAUAGAAAUUUGGAUUUUGAUUUUAUUGUUUCGUUAUUUCUCGCCUUUUUCUUUUUUCCCCCUCCCCAAUAGCAUAUAUUAGAUACUUUGAAAUGGUUUCCACUCUUACUGGUUUAAAUUUGCUUGGUCCCAUUUUCAGGUGCUUUUAGGUUGGAAUUGCAAUCACUCAUCUCUGCUUGUCGAUUAACGCGUGCAUAUGUUGAUAGUUUUUGCCAUAAAAUGAUGAGGCAUUCUGUGACUAUCGAUGAGGUUUCCUUCGACACUUGUUUGAGCAUUCAGGGCAAUCACAAUACUUUACAAAUUCCUGUUUUCUGGGCCUCCAAGUGGGGGAUAUUUUAAGCAUGGUUAUGUGAUUUUUUUUUUCUUUUUGGGUACCUCCUAAGUACUAGAAAAUUUCUUGUAAUGUGGUGACCAAUUCUUCAGCUAUUUAUGCUGUAGACAUUGAUUUUAUGGUACAACAGGGACCAAGAAAUGGCAUUUACUUCCAUGUUGAUAUUAAGUAUACCUUUUCAGUUGAAGUCUAAUCUUGUUUUAGUAGUAUGCCUGAAUAAGAUAUGGGAGUUUACUUCAUGACUACUGUUCAGUACAGUGUAGCAAUGGUAUUGUGAAGAGUAAACUGGUAUGUAAUUUCCUAGUUGGAGUUUUGGUGUAACUUUGUUUCUUAGUCUAUGUUUUUCUUGAUAGAAAUUCUUCUUUUCUUUUUUCAGUUCUAAUGAAUGCUGGUUAGAAAAUCUGAAAUCUUGUUCGAAAAAGAAAAUAGAUAUCCUGUGGUCAUCAUUGGAGAAUAACUAGUGUUUGUUUUGUUAAUUUCAAAUCAAAUGUAUCAUGAUAACUUUUUGUUAUUUGUAGCAUGGGUAUGCUAUUAUCGAUCUAGAAAAGCUCGAGCCAACAGAAGUUGAUGAUCUUUGCCUUUCACAGUAUCUGGCCUCAAUCUUGCAGGUAUUAGUCGGUAUUUUAUUGCAUUCCUUUUUUCUUUUUGUUUCCAUCAACAAGAACACAACUCAAAUAUGUUGCCUUUUUCAUAUUUGUGAUAGUUAAUUCACAAUGUGGCAGUUUAUCUCUCAAAGGCACAGACCAAUUCGUGGCAGAACUGCUCGAUUGCUAAUUAGCUACUUCCGUAAAAUCCCGUGCAAGGUCAAUUUAUUAUAUUUCCACUAUCCUGGCAUUGUAUUUGAAAUCCUUGGUGUUCAAUGCAAAUAAAUCCUUGAACAAUUAUUCACCUUUUGAACUACUAUGCAGACCUCCCUUUCCGCAGCUGGUUGUUACCUUUGUGCCGCUCCACGGUCCAAAGGCUCAAAAAUUUUGAUCUGUUGCUUGGUUGAGUCGCCUCAGUCAUUUAUUGUUGAUUUUUCAUCUACAUACUCAUGUCGGGAAGAACAAUGUACUCUGCCCAGUGAAAUAGCUCAGAUAAUUAAGGAAGCGGCAUUGUAUUCUAAUGAAUCAGCUGCAGAGGUUUUGAACAUCUCUUUUCUGAAUGCAAAAUGUUCAAUGGAUGUUCUAAGUGAAGCAAAGAAGCUCGAUAUUAUAAGUGAGUCAACUUUGAAAAGUAUUUCCUUACUGAGUGUAGAAGAACAUGAGAAGUUUAUUACCACUACAGAAGCUCAGGAUAAUCAGGAGUCGAUGCAUGAAAUGAACUUUUCUGGUGCUUCAAGCAUAACUAUUCGUCGUGGCGAAGCAUGCCACUUUAUGAACAGGUUCUUAAUUACAUGGAAUUCUGCUGAAGAUGCUAUAAAAUCAGAUAGAGAUCAAGACCAUCUUUGUGAGUUCUGCUUGGGCGACCGGGAAACUAUAUUACACGUUCGACAUUUAGUUGAUGCUGAUUGGUUGUUUCUCGCAGAAGUUUGUAGGAUUCGGGCAGUGGGUGAAUGCCAGUGUAAUUCAGAUGUUUUUACUUGCAAGCCAAAUGAGAAUGAAAUGGAGAAACCUAAAUAUUCAACUUAUAUGCAGUUGUCAGCUGCGAAGGCACUCCAAGCCCUGAAAUCUAUUCCGGUUUCUGCGAGAAGGGCACUCCCUGCACUUGUUAAUUCUCAAGGCUUACUACUAGGUGUGCCGGUAUGUGCAUAUAUCAAUUAUUUGUAAUCAAAGCAUUCAUUUUUUUGGUUAGUUUCAAGAAAAUUUAUAUCCUUCUCAUUUUGAAACAUUUUCUCUUCCUUUAACCGCAUAAUAAAUAAGGCAGUUCUUUCUCUCUCUCUCUCAUGAAAUAUUUGUCACGGUAGCCAUGUUUUGUUAGGCGCCAAAUUUUCCUCACUUAUAUGCAUAAUAAGAGGAUUGACUAAUCUAUUGGGCUUUUGUAACAGAUAUGCUGUCCAUAAUAUCUGAAACUUAAUUAAUGUGCUAGCGAAGAACUAUCUAUUAUCUUUGGUAUUUGCUAUCGACCUGCUAAUGAAAAUAGAUGUACUCAUGGUUAUUAUGAGCUAAUUCCUUUUCUCCUCAUUUUCCUUCAGAGCAUUGGCUUCAGAUGUUGUCCUUGUCUCUCGGUUGCCACAGUAUUCAGUCCAAGGGUGCCCCUUGGAGGAGGUUUCACUUUGUACACCUGAACUGAAGCAAGAAGGUGAUGUAAAUUUUGUUCUUGUGGCGAGAAUCAAGAUAUGCCCAACGGAAACAUGCUGCAUGGGUUAUUUUCACUAGCAAUUGCGUUAGUUCCCGUUCCUUGCAGAUUGUUCGUUGGUAAUGCCCUUUGAUCUUGAUCCAGUCACUAAUUUGAGUUCCAUUGAAUUGUUACUUAACAUUUUUUAAGGUAGAGAUCAGAUCAAUUUGUAGUCAAACGAAGAAAAACACGUGAAAGAUUGUGCAGCACAUGUUUCUCAUUUUUGUUUGAAAGCCAAAAUAUAUUACUCUGGUGCUAUGCUAUAGUAUGGAUCCGGAUUCUUGGUUAGCCAAUAUUUUGUUCUGUUUGUUCUUUACCUCGCUAAGUUAAGCACUCGCACGAAUAAUACGGCAACCUUUAAGGUCUAACUAUUAAUGAGAUGCUGCCAGAUUUGGUGAUUGUCUUCCAUGAGAUGGGCUUGACAAAGAGUAAGAACAUCUGCUGUUCUUCUUAAACAGGUACAUACUAUAAAGACAGGCAAUCGGACGUGCAAUGGAUGCUUUGCUCAAAAGUUUCUGCCUCUUAUUACUGUGAGUUGAUGGCUUUUGAGUGAAUAUCGCCGCUUCAGCCUCAUGGAGCUGCUCAUGCAUUAUUUGGGACAUCAUAUGCCUUCCUCCAGGUUCUUCUUUUGCUAAGUUUAAUAUUUAUUUCCCUGUGUGGUGAAGGAAAUAGUUUUGUCCUUGCUGAGGUAGAAAACUAUGAACUUCUUUUAUUUGUAUAUUUCUUUUCUUUCUUUUGUUAUUUUUAUAAUUUUGAGCCAAUGUUCACAAGAAUCAUUAAAUUAGUUGCACCACCAAGGAUUUAAGUACACAAUGUGUCGUUCACAAAAGUACAUGUAUGCUGACACACUAUGACAUGAAAUAGACAUUUCGUUUGGCACUAAUAUAUUCUAAAUGUUUAUUAUAUGUCUUUAUCAAUUUUUUUGUACUUUAUUGAUGCACAGUUUGCUACUAUCGAAAAAAGGGGGAUUUGAGUCGUACUAUUGGCACAGGUUGUUUUGCCUUGAUAUCUUGUAAACACAGUAUGAACACUCUGUGCACGAGCUAUUCCAAUAGGUACUUAAAUUCUUUUGCACUAUAUUUAGUUCAGGAGUUUAAAACCGUUGCCUUUGAUUUUGGUUAUUUUGAAGAUUAGCAAGGCUCAAGAUCACAAAAAUUAAAGACCACUCAACCCAAAUGGUUUAGUAAUAUAAAAUUUGCAUGGAAUAGUAUGACUAUAUGUAUCAAUCAUUUUUUUAAUUAUUUUACGAGAAACUAAUUUGUAACACAUAUUACCUACAAUUUUACAUGUUAUGAUGACAUGCAGGAGAAAUGAUAACAAGUAAAUACAUUAAUUACUAAACAAACAGUGCAAAUACUGGCUCAGUUUUGUCAAAGGAAACAAGUAAUGAAAUGAAGUAAAACAUCCACUGCACCUAACACACCAAGAACAAUGAACUAGCCCACUGUAAUUAUUUCGCUCCUUUUAUAAUAUAUUAACAAGUAUUUUCCCAUUAAUUUCCACCGAAACGGACGGUGUUGACAAAUAUGAGUAAAAAAAUUGAAAUACAUGAGCUUGCUGCUUCCUGUUUGCCUUCCAGCCAUCAAGAUAAGGAUUUUAAGGAUGGCAAAAAAUAUGAAGAUCACAAUUUCUGUUAGGGUUUUGUAUUCAUUCAUCUUGUUAAAGUCGAAGUCGGAGAAGAAUCAAAGAAGAAGAGAAGAGAGGAUUUCAAGUCUAUUUUGAAGUUGUUAUAUGUGACAAGAUGAAGUUUAGGUUGACAACUUAGCAAAGCCCUUAAUGAUGUUGAUUUGUUUCUUUAAGGUUACUUCAGUAUUGUUUACAACCUAAUCAAUCUUCAGUGCUAGUAACUUUCACUUUCCUGACUACUGUCACUUUAAGCUGAUAAUAUUAGAAUAUUAUUAUUGAUUAAGAAGAUUUAAACGCUAGAAACUUUUGAUUUCUUAAUGACUUAGGCCUAGUUUAGUAAUAUGGUGGUUAAUAUGCUUCUCCCAUGGUGGCCUAGUUUGGUGCAUGUGAUGCUCUAAUCGAUCAGGCACGGUUAGUAUUUUUUAUAGCGAAGGAAAAUUUAUUACUUGUACAAUGUGUAUGCAUAUAUUUUACACACAAUAUUUUUAAAAUUCUAUUAUAAAAAUUUUAAAUUCUCUAAUUAUUUAUGUAUAGACUUUGUGAUAUUGAUCACAUCUGUGAGAUUAAAUUUAGAUUUUGUAAUAUUAAAAUAUUAAAAAAUAGAUUGAACGCAGGUAGUCCACUAAUACUUUGGCGUGUACGGAAUCUGUUAUAACGGUUAAGAGGGUUGGUCGGGCGACGCAUGUCGCUCUGAGCUCCGCCCCAACCACUCUUUAAUGUGACUAGCGAUGGCUUUGUGUUCUGAAUUGUAUAUAUGUAAAAUAUAGUAUACACUAUUUAUAUAGAAUUAUUUUAUAGAGUCAAACAGUAUCAACUUUGAUGUAAUUAUUCAACACAUAUUUUAUAUGGAAUCGAUUCCAACAUGGAAAAUAUUUUUUGAAGAAAAAUAGUAAAGUUUAUAAUAUACUUAUGUUUUACGUCAUUUUGUUCAAAAAGUACGUCCCUAAUUUUUUAUGUUUGUAUAACAAUAAUAAUGAGAUAUACACUAAGCUGUUGUUUAGUUGGAUAUAAGUAUAGUAUUACUGUAGAUGCAUGUGAUUCAAAUGCAGCGGUUAUUGUUGUAUUUUUCUUGUUUGAUUGAAUAUAAUAAAAAGUCUUGCCGGUAUGAAUAAUUUGUUUAGUUUUAUUUAGUUAGAAAUUGUAUAUCUAAAUUUGUUAUUUUACAUAUAUAAUUGUGAGAUCAUCUCUAAUGUGUGUGUGUGUGUGUGUGAACGCAUGCAUGGGAGUCCGGCUAUGGUAUUUUUAAAAGCACCAAGCACUUGAUGUUUAUAAGUUUUCCAUCCUUAGAUCUAUCCUUCUGACUAAUUUGAUUUAAAUUAUGUUAUUUCACCAAUCGGACACUCAACUUUAGGAGGCCAUGUGCGUAGAGUCCGGCUAUAGUGCUUUUAAAAGCACCAAGGUAGUCGGUGCUUAUAAAUUUUUUACUGUUAGAUAAAUAUUUUUGAUCAAUUUCAUCUCUUAAAUUAUGUGUUAUUUCACCAACCACUCUAAGAAUCAUGUGCUCAUAUUUGUGGCCACAGAUUAUUCUACGGAGUGGGUUGAGGCUGUGCCACAUUUUUGUUUCUGCUUCUGUCCGAUACCGAGAUUCUAAUGAUCCGAACUGUUAAGAUGAGGCCUUCUUCUCCACUUGACUCAAGGCGGGGCCCCCUACACACUGUUUGGUUCAGAGUUAAAGCCGCGGGGGCGGGGGGGGUGGGGGGGGGGGGGGGGGGGAGAGAGAUAAGGGUUUAAUUUUUUUAUUUAUAAUUUAUAAUUUAUAAUUUAAAAUAAAUUUAAAUUUUUAUAAGUUUAAAAUUGAUAUUUAUAAAUUUAAAUUAUUAAUUUAAUUUUUUAAAUUUAAAAUUUGAUAUUUGAUAUUUUUAAAUUUAAAUUUAAUCUAAAAACAAAAAUUUAGAACUUUAAAUUUUUGAAUUUGAGAUUUAAAAUUUUAAUUUUUAUUUUGAAUUUUUUAGUUUUUUAAUUUUCAAAGUUAUAUAUUUAAAUUUAAAAUUUUAAUUAUAAAAUUUAAAAAUUUAAAUUCAAAUAUAAGGAGCAAUAUUAUUAUUUUCUAUUUAUAAUUAUCCAUUAUUCUUUUUAUUCUAUCUUAUCUAUUCAAACGCUAUUUUUCUUAUUUUCGAAAACUUAAUUUUAUCAUCUAAACGCAAAAUUGAUCUAUUUUAGGCUUAACCUUGAACUUAUACUUAUUUCUGAAAUAACUAGCUCUUAGUUAAUUUCGAACCGUACAAAGCCUAAGAGAUCACUAUUAAUCUAAACAUAGAUUUAUCCAAAGGUCGAAAACUUUCAAGCACUAAUAACUUAGUGCACAAUAACCUCAAUCUGGUACCUCUCUUUUGUCACUAGUCUUACUAUUUUUUUUUUUUGUUUUUAAUUCUCAACGCUUUUAGAAGAGUAGUUGUAUGGAUUACAACUUUUUUGGGUGGUAGACUUAGUAUUUUUCGAAAAGAAAGAGGAGUCUUAAACCUAUAACUUAUUUUGAAUUGCAAAAAAAAGAUUGGCUAGUUUUGCAUUUUUACAAAAAAGGCCACAUUUUUUAUUUCUACAUAUUUUAAUUGAUUUUUUUUUUUUCAAAUUCAUUAAAAUACUCAUAUUUUCUUUCUCUCCUUGCUUUCUUUCUCAUUUUAUUUCCCCUCACUCCUUCAUCGUCCCCAUGUCGCUGUCACACUCCUCCCCAACCUCACGGACGAGCGAAAGUACGAUGACGAAGCUGGGCUCACUCGUGGCUGUUGCUGUUUUUGGCGUUCUCCGAUAAGGUCGCCGUGAUAGAGGCAAGGGGGGCGCCGCUUGGAGCAUCGCCAGAGAUAGAAACGGAGGUCGCAAAGGUAGAGGGCUAUAAUUGCUAGUCAAGAAUGCUCAUGAAGCAUAUUCGCAAGCGGGUUCAGAAGCAUGACCGAUGAUAACCAGAUGAUGGCGAUAAUGAGAGAGAAAAAUCUAGCGGACGACGCGAUGUUGCACGAUGUAAAAAAAGUUGCACUAUUUGAACAUAAAAUUGUACUAUUUGAUACGUAUAAUAAAAUAUAAAAUAGUAUAAUUUUUUUCUAAAUAGUUCAAUUUUUUCAAAUAGUGCAAUAUCAAAUCGUUCCUUAGAUUUUUUUUUCUCUCAUUACCGCCGCCACCUUGUUGCUGCCAGUCGUGCUUGCGCACAAACAUGCUUUCAAAGCAUUCUCAACUAAUGACCGUCGCACUACUUCUCUGCCACCUCUGUCUCCAUUUCGGGCGAGGCUAUAAGCAACUACGAUGAUGAGCAGGUCAAGUUCACCAUUUUCCUCUCACUCGUGAGGUACAGCACGACGUAGGCUAGGUGGAGUUAAUGUGGAGACCGCGAAGGUAGAACGAGAGCUCGAAGCUGCCACCGGUGGCGGAGACGUGGGCCCAUGAGGAGCAGAAUAGGAAAGAUGAAUUGUUUAAGGCAGAGUAAUAUUUUGGCCCAUUUUCAAAAAUUUUGACAUGUAUAUAUAAAAAUAAGAAAUAUGACAUUUUAUUAAAAUACAAGACUAGUGAUUAUUUUAUUUUAUUAUUUAUUUAUUUUUGCAAAACAGUGGAUUGUAAUCCUACAGCAAUCCCAAUAAUAUAACUACUGAACGAAUCACUUGAAAAAGACUGGAAGCUAGAAAGACAAUACAUCUUUAUUUAAUCCUGCAGCUCCAGUAUCUCGCAACAUUUUCUACGAAGAGCAAAUAACGACGGGUAAAAGCAUAUAUAGUGACAUAGAACCCCGUGAAUCGUAACAAAGUUCAGUCACAUGAUGGUGCAGGUGUACUGAUCGGAAUCUUCCUCGUAGACGACAUUGUAGCCGGCGCCGUUGCACCAGGGUCCACCACUGCCGCUGCAGCCGCAGCGGCAGCCGCCACCGCUGCCGCCACCUCCACCGUUGCCAUCACUGCAGCCGCAGCGGCAGCCGACACUGUCGCUGCGGCGGNAAAUGGCCGCAGCCGUAGCCGCAGCCGCAGCCGCAGCCGCAGCCGCAGCCGCAGUGGCAGCUAUCUGGGGGGACCCAUCCGCUGUCCUCCUUCCCGCACGAGCAGCACCGGCGCACUCCUCUCCCUCCUCGGCAGUCGUACCACGGGCACGGGCACGGCUGCUGGCAGCAGCCCGGCCACACCGGAUAAGGAUACGGCACCCCCACUAGCUUUGUCUUCGUCGGCGGCGGAGGGGUCGGGGGCGGCGGCGUUGGCGGUGGAGAGGGAGGAGGGGGCGGCGGAGGCGGAGGCGGAGGCGGAGGGGGCGGGGGCGGCGGUGGAGGAGGAGGAGGAGCAGGAGGAGGAGGGAUCUGGACGUCCUUGAUCACCUUGCAGGCCAUGCAAAGCAGCUUCUUUGACAGGCGCUCGGGAUCGAAAGGGCCGGAAAUUUUGACGGUGUUCUUCUUCUCGUCGUAUACGAUGGUCUGGAUCUUCUCUCGUUCUCCACGUUAUUAACAAAAAUUAAUGCAGUCAAAAAGGACGAAGAGAGAAUGCGAAAUAACUAUUUUUUUCCGAAAAUUUAAACUAUCCGAGAAUUUCAACUCUAAGACUUUUUAUUCUAAUACUAUGUUAAAAUAUGCGGCGAUAGCUGCUGUUCUCCACAAAUUUAUGCUGACAAGAGAGCAGCUUUUUUCUGAUAUUUUAUAUUCGACAAGUGCACGGAAAGCUUGAAUAAUUGAGAAUACCUUGGAGCUUGCACAGAACCUUUUUGAUCUUUUUGUUGCAGCGGCAGCAUUCCAGGUCUACUUUUAGGAUUAAUGUGGAGACCUGCAGUUGUGCAGUCGCAGAAGUAAAAGAGAUUGGCACACACUAGGAAUGUGAAAAGUUAAAACAGAUCGGCACUUUGUAUACUAAGGCAAAUUUAAGAUUCUGCAGACCAUGGACUGAGCACUGCAGAACAGAAAAAAAAAAAAAAGAAACUGCAAUAAUACACCCAGAGAAAGCAAUCAAACGAGCAAGCCUUCAACUGGUCGUUUCUGUUUAUCUCUAAAAUGAAGCAUCAAUGAGAUUCUAAUUAACUCAACAUCUUCUGCAUACUGAGAAACCUGCUGUUUGUUACUACUUGAUGUAAAUUUGAUUUUUUAUUCAGUGAAAAUACUUGGUUAGCUUUCGGAAAAAAAUUGAAAAAAGAAAUAUCAGAGAUUUGGAAAUUUGAGCACCUUCUCAGCCAUUGCUUAAACCGAUUGAUCCGAAGAUCAGAGAGAGAGAGAGAGAGAGAGAGAGAGAGAGAGGAAUGAGGGGAACAAGGGGAAUCAGGCCUCUCUCAUUUCGCCAUGUAAAUUGGAGUUAAAUCAUAAUUAGAUUACAAUAGAAUAUUAUCUAUCUAUACCUGUAUAUUAUUGCUUAUAAACUUUGCCUUCUUGACCGUUGCCUUUUUUUUUUUUUUUUCCUUCAUAAUGAUCAAAUUUAUUAUUUUUCAUCACCAUGCGAUUUUUUGUCUUCCCACCUGUGCUCUUCCUAAUUAAUAUGUUCACAUGCUUCAUUAUUUUCUACACAAAUCAAUUUUAUAAAAAAAAUAAAUUUUUUUUUUAGAGGGGACACAAUAAAAAUUCAUAUUUUAUUAUUUUUUUAAUUUUUUCUCUCUUUUUUUUAAAUUGGGUGCUAUGAAAUUAGGGUUACGAGAAUCGUAGCGUGACAAGUAGGAGGAAGUAGCGAUGAAUUUGGAGUCGGUGGGGGAAAAAAACGAUGAGUCUGAAAGAUCUGUACAGGAUCGACGUGGCUGUAACUAAAGAGGAGCUCGAUGCUGACAAUGGCAGCGAAUGCGACGUGGAUUAGAAUUCGCCUUCCCGAUAUCGACAGCGCAAUUAAGGUGCUUAUAGAGAGUAGUGAUCUACUAUUUCUUUUAUUAUUCUUAUACGUAAAUUAUUUAUUGAAAGUAUAAAUUUUGUUAUAUCUAUUUCAUAUUUUUUAUUUAUAUUUAUUAAUUUCUCAUAACAAGUAAAAAAAAUGUAAAUUUAUUUUAUCUUGUCAAUUUUUUAUUUUUUAUAACAUCAAUCCACCCUAAUGUACAAAUAACUUCACUAGUUUAACAUUAUAAGAGAUAAACCGGAGGACUCCAAAUUAUGUUGGAGCUUAGGGUACACUUUAUUCGUCAGUGAGUGCUCUGGUGGAGCCCGUACGGGUUAGUGAGAGCGAGUGAGAGUUACGCGCACCUCGUAGAAACCGAAAAGAAUAAGGUCUCAAGGGGACCCUUCAAAGUGAACCCAAAGCAUCUUCCUUUUCCUUUACGUAGUUUCACCAGUAACAUCUUACAUCGUCAAAAAAUGGAGAUGUGACGCCACAUUUCCUAUAGGAUCAUCUAUUAUAAAAUUAAUUUUCAUUUUAGCAUACUUAAUUUUUCUAAUCCUUUUAAUUUAAUCACCGUCCAAUAUAUCAUAAUUGAGUUGAAAAAUUUAGCUCUAUUAUAUUUUAUAUAUGAGAAUAUUUUAAAUUCUAAAGUGUCACAAGAAGAUAUUUAUUGUUUGCAAUAAAAUUAAUUAAAAAGAUUUGUGGAGAUGAUCUAAUGGCGGCGGGGAGAAAUCCUUAAUCUUUGUUUAGAGCAAACGCUCGAUGAACAACCGAAAAUGAACCGUAAUUCCCCAUUAGUCCCAUCAUUUUUUUUAUUCUUUUUGUUUAAGAAUCAAAAAGGGGUUAGUAAAUCCCCAAACCAACAUUAUCAGGAGUCGAAGCAUGAAAUGAACUUUUUCGAUCUGAUUCUUCAGGCACAAGCAUUCGCCGAUCAUGGGGUUCGAAGCAUGUUAUUCUAGGAACAGAUUCUUUAUUUCGUGGAAAUCUAUUGAAGAUUCUCAGGGAGAUAAAUACCAUCUUCGUGAGUUCUCUUGCGCGGCCCGGAAACAACCUUCAUAAGUUCCAUCCUUAAUGAUUGGUUGUUUCUCACAUAGUUUUGUAGGAUUAGGGCAGAUAAUUUUGGAGAGAAUUAAAGUAGAAUAUAACAAGAAGAGCAACAAAAAUAUACGUGGUUCGGCUUAGCCUCUCAAAAAAGUAUAAAAGAAAGUGCUAAAUUAUGUAAAAUAAUUGUUUUUGCAAAAAAACUAACUGUCCCUAGAGUAAGUGGCAAAGAUCUUGGUGGUUGGUCCCCAAGGUUCCAAAAUCGAAUCCUAGUUGAUUCACAUUUCUAGCUAAGUUUAUUUUCAAAUGAAAAAAAUAAAGCGGGUAUCGUGCUACCUAUUUCUCAAAAAAAAAAUUGUUUUUGCAAAAAAUGUUAAGUUGAAAAAAAAAUGAUGUUUUUAUUAUUCAAUGCUUCCCUCACGUUUAGACUUGAGAAUGAUAUUUUUAUUAUUUAACAUAGACUUUUUUUUUAAAAAAAAAAAGGCUUUCUUCAUAAAAAAGAAAAACUCAUAUAUUCUAAUUUUCUGUCUAUUUAGCUUUUAAAAUAACUAAUUUUUCUUGAAAUUUGUUUUGCUCACAGUUUAUGAGAAACCAUGUUUUCGUUUUCGAUUAUUUUUCCCCGGAAAACAACCGUGUUUUCCCAUUAAUUUUCAUAAGAAAAACUACAAAAUAAAGGCACUGACAAAUAUGAGAAAAACGCCAAGUUAGAUGAGUUUGCUAGAUACUUCAUGUUUCCCCCGUAGCCAUCCAGAUAAGAUCUUUUAAGGAUGGCCAAAAAUGUGAAGAUUGCAAUUUUUGCUAGGGUUCUAUAAGCAUUCAUGCAUCUUGUCGAAGUCGAAGAAGAAGAGAAGAGAGGUUUCCAAUUUAUUUCAAAUUAUAAUGUGCGCUAAUAUAACGUUUAUGGAGUAAGGGACUCAAACUAAGGACAGUUAAAUAAUGUCAUGAGGCUGAUGGGACUCGAAUUCAUAACCUUAUAUUCUGACGUUUUCUAGAACUAAAAAUGUGGGCUUAAUCAAAUGGGAAAAAAUUAAAUAGUAAUAGAAACUUAAUAAAAUUCGAACUCAUGAACCUCAUGUUUAGAUAUCUAGUUUUGUGGAGCUUCGACUCUAAGCCCCCGUUUGGUUGGGGAUUAAGAGGGGGGGUGGGGUGGUGGUGGUGGUGGGGCGGUUAAGAGGGUUAUUCCUCCUUUAACCCUAAACAAAAAAUUUGGGGGAGCUAACCCCACCUCAAGAAUAGGGGUGGGAUUAAGUUAAUCCCACCCCUAUUUAAUUUUUUUAAUANUACGUCAUUUUAAAAAAUUUAAUUUAAAAUUUUGAAUUGACAACUUUUAAAUUUUAAAAUUUGAAUUUUAAUUUUGAAUUUUGAAUUUUGAAUUUUAAAUUUUAAAUUAUUAUUUUUAAUUUUUUUAAAUUAUAAAUUUGACAUUUUAUAUUUGUAACUUUAAAUUUUUAAAUUUGAGAUUUAAAAAUAAAAUUUUAAAUUUUAAAUUUUAAAUUAUUAUUUUUAAUUAUUUAAAAUUUAAAUUUAAAUUCAAAUAUAAAAAUUGGGACCAAAUUAUUAUUUUGUAUUUAUAAUAAUUCACUAUCCUUCUUAUUCCACCUACUCUAAUCAAACACUAUUUUAUCUAUACCCGCAUUAAAACCAAUUUUCAACCAAAUACAAAAUUAUUCUAAUCCCACCUUAAUCCUGAACUUAACUCUAUUUCUAGAAUAACUAGUUCUUACUUAACCCUGAACCAAACGAAGCCCAAAGAAAAUUAAAUAAUGUUAGAAGUUACGUUUGAUAGAAUUCGAAUUCAAAACAUCAUGGUCUGUUGUCAUAUUAAAUUAUAUAAAAUAACUAUUUAUCUCUAAAAGAUUAUGCCACUAAAGAAAUGUUUAUAUAUAUAUAUAUAUAUAGGACUUUUUUAUAAAACAACCCUCUAAAAUUUUGAAAUUUGUAAAAUAACCCUCUCAAAAUUUUAUUUGGCAAACUAACCCUCCUUUCGCCAUGUCGGCGCCACGUCAGAAUUUUUUUUAAAGGCGGUGAAUCGUUCACCGCUUUCUCCCAUUUCUUUUAAAAGCGGUGAAUCGUUCACCGCUUUCUCCUAUUUCUUUAAAGACGGUGAAUCAUUCACCACCUUUCACUUAUUCACUAUUUCUUUCUAUAUCCCAUAUAUAAUCCCAACAACCACAUAAAAAUUCUAACAAAUCAUAUAUAAUCUUAACAACCUUUAAAUCCUAAUAAUUUAUCCAUAUAAUUUCAUAUAAUCUUAACAGCCUGAAAAUCCUAAUAAUCUAUCUAUACAAUCCUAAUAAUCAAAUAAAAAUUCUAAUGAUCCACAUAUAAUCCUAACAACCUCACUUUUUUCUAUUUCCUAUAUAAUUCACGCACAAUUUUAAUGAAUGCGGUGAACGAUUUACCGCUUUAAAAGAAAUAGGAGAAAGCGGUGAACGAUUCACCGCUUUUAAAAGAAAUGGGAGAAAGCGGUGAACGAUUCACCGCCUUUAAAAUAAAAUUAAAUAAAUUAAAAAUUUUAAAUGUGUCGAUUAAUAAGUUGAAAAAUUAUUGAAAAAUAUAAAAAUAUUAUAUAUAUCUACUUAUUUAUUUAUAAAUAGUAAUUUAAAUAAUUAAUAAAUUUAUACAAUUAUUUUAUGUUUAGUGAAGGUAACCUCACCACUCUAUCUGAACAGGUGACAAAAUUCAUAAAUACAACUAUCAGCUUCAUAUUACCAAACAGAAGAAAUGUAACUGCAGCAGUUGCAACUGCGUAAAACCAAACAGACUAGGUGUAGUUACAACUGCAGCAUUUGCAACUGCAUAUAUUUCCAACUACACUGUUUCUGCAACUACAUCCAACCAAACGGCCCCUAAGAGUAUUAUUUAAUCCUAGGGGAGACCGCAAUCAUCCCAACCAUACAAUUUUUAAUCAAAAGUCAAAAAUUCAAAAACAUCAAAUCCUUAUAUUUUCGAUAGCAUAGUAUAUAUAUAUAUAGAGUCCGGCUACUAUACUAUUGAUAGUACAAGCCUUUGGUACUAUAGAGUUUUCUACCGUUAGAUCUACCCUGUGAUUAUUUCCACCCGUUAGAUUAUACUAUUAAACCAACCACCCACUCAACCCUAGGAGACCACUAUCAUCCUAACCGCACAUCCUUUCAUCCAACAGCCAAAAACUCAAUAGUACAAGGGCUUGGUACUAUUAAUAGUAUAGGAGCUAAUUAUAUAUAUAUAUAUAUAUAUAUAUAUAUAUAUAUAUAUAUAUAAUAUAUAUAUAUAUAUAUAUAUAUAUAUAUAUAUAUAUAUAUAUUUAUUAAAAUAUAUAAAUAUAAUAUAUUUUAAUUAUAUAUAGGCUGAGUGAAUAAUCUGAGUUUAGUUAAAAUUGAGUCAAUAUUGUUGGCCCAUAAAAACAAACCAAUAGACAAAUAAAAGAGCAAAAUUUUACUAAAUUUAUAUAUUUUUCCUUUCUUUCUUUCUUUCACAGAGCUCUCAAUUUUCAAUAUGUUUCUCUCUUUCUCUUUUUCUGUCUCUCACCCUAAGUGGCCAAGCGGAAAGCCCUCUAAGUUACCAAGUAACAUCAUAUGCCCACCGUUGCCUAUCUUAUUAUUAAUUGUAUGCUUGAGAAAAUAUACAGAAUAUUUUUAAAGUAAAAAAUUAUUAUUCAUAUAAAAUUUUAACUUUAGUUAUAUAUGAUUGGAUAGUUUAAUCCAAUACUUAUCUAUAUAAUUUAUUUAUUUUUUACUGCAUAAAUGAAAAUGAAUAAUAUAGAAAUUGAAGGUAAAAGAAAAGACAUGUAAGACUGAAAAAAUUAGAUAUUCAACUCAUAAAUUAUUUUUUUCAUAUUAUAUACUAUAUUUCAUAUAAUUUUUUGCACUUUGAAUUAUUAGACAUAUUUUUGUAUCAAAUUAUAGAUAAUAUUUUAUAUAAAUUAAACUAUUGAUCGUAUAAUGUCGAGAAUUUCAAGCGGCUCGUUUAAGGCUCGAGCUCACUCGACUUGAAAUUAGGCUCGCUCGGAGCUCANNNNNNNNNNNNNNNNNNNNNNNNNNNNNNNNNNNNNNNNNNNNNNNNNNNNNNNNNNNNNNNNNNNNNNNNNNNNNNNNNNNNNNNNNNNNNNNNNNNNNNNNNNNNNNNNNNNNNNNNNNNNNNNNNNNNNNNNNNNNNNNNNNNNNNNNNNNNNNNNNNNNNNNNNNNNNNNNNNNNNNNNNNNNNNNNNNNNNNNNNNNNNNNNNNNNNNNNNNNNNNNNNNNNNNNNNNNNNNNNNNNNNNNNNNNNNNNNNNNNNNNNNNNNNNNNNNNNNNNNNNNNNNNNNNNNNNNNNNNNNNNNNNNNNNNNNNNNNNNNNNNNNNNNNNNNNNNNNNNNNNNNNNNNNNNNNNNNNNNNNNNNNNNNNNNNNNNNNNNNNNNNNNNNNNNNNNNNNNNNNNNNNNNNNNNNNNNNNNNNNNNNNNNNNNNNNNNNNNNNNNNNNNNNNNNNNNNNNNNNNNNNNNNNNNNNNNNNNNNNNNNNNNNNNNNNNNNNNNNNNNNNNNNNNNNNNNNNNNNNNNNNNNNNNNNNNNNNNNNNNNNNNNNNNNNNNNNNNNNNNNNNNNNNNNNNNNNNNNNNNNNNNNNNNNNNNNNNNNNNNNNNNNNNNNNNNNNNNNNNNNNNNNNNNNNNNNNNNNNNNNNNNNNNNNNNNNNNNNNNNNNNNNNNNNNNNNNNNNNNNNNNNNNNNNNNNNNNNNNNNNNNNNNNNNNNNNNNNNNNNNNNNNNNNNNNNNNNNNNNNNNNNNNNNNNNNNNNNNNNNNNNNNNNNNNNNNNNNNNNNNNNNNNNNNNNNNNNNNNNNNNNNNNNNNNNNNNNNNNNNNNNNNNNNNNNNNNNNNNNNNNNNNNNNNNNNNNNNNNNNNNNNNNNNNNNNNNNNNNNNNNNNNNNNNNNNNNNNNNNNNNNNNNNNNNNNNNNNNNNNNNNNNNNNNNNNNNNNNNNNNNNNNNNNNNNNNNNNNNNNNNNNNNNNNNNNNNNNNNNNNNNNNNNNNNNNNNNNNNNNNNNNNNNNNNNNNNNNNNNNNNNNNNNNNNNNNNNNNNNNNNNNNNNNNNNNNNNNNNNNNNNNNNNNNNNNNNNNNNNNNNNNNNNNNNNNNNNNNNNNNNNNNNNNNNNNNNNNNNNNNNNNNNNNNNNNNNNNNNNNNNNNNNNNNNNNNNNNNNNNNNNNNNNNNNNNNNNNNNNNNNNNNNNNNNNNNNNNNNNNNNNNNNNNNNNNNNNNNNNNNNNNNNNNNNNNNNNNNNNNNNNNNNNNNNNNNNNNNNNNNNNNNNNNNNNNNNNNNNNNNNNNNNNNNNNNNNNNNNNNNNNNNNNNNNNNNNNNNNNNNNNNNNNNNNNNNNNNNNNNNNNNNNNNNNNNNNNNNNNNNNNNNNNNNNNNNNNNNNNNNNNNNNNNNNNNNNNNNNNNNNNNNNNNNNNNNNNNNNNNNNNNNNNNNNNNNNNNNNNNNNNNNNNNNNNNNNNNNNNNNNNNNNNNNNNNNNNNNNNNNNNNNNNNNNNNNNNNNNNNNNNNNNNNNNNNNNNNNNNNNNNNNNNNNNNNNNNNNNNNNNNNNNNNNNNNNNNNNNNNNNNNNNNNNNNNNNNNNNNNNNNNNNNNNNNNNNNNNNNNNNNNNNNNNNNNNNNNNNNNNNNNNNNNNNNNNNNNNNNNNNNNNNNNNNNNNNNNNNNNNNNNNNNNNNNNNNNNNNNNNNNNNNNNNNNNNNNNNNNNNNNNNNNNNNNNNNNNNNNNNNNNNNNNNNNNNNNNNNNNNNNNNNNNNNNNNNNNNNNNNNNNNNNNNNNNNNNNNNNNNNNNNNNNNNNNNNNNNNNNNNNNNNNNNNNNNNNNNNNNNNNNNNNNNNNNNNNNNNNNNNNNNNNNNNNNNNNNNNNNNNNNNNNNNNNNNNNNNNNNNNNNNNNNNNNNNNNNNNNNNNNNNNNNNNNNNNNNNNNNNNNNNNNNNNNNNNNNNNNNNNNNNNNNNNNNNNNNNNNNNNNNNNNNNNNNNNNNNNNNNNNNNNNNNNNNNNNNNNNNNNNNNNNNNNNNNNNNNNNNNNNNNNNNNNNNNNNNNNNNNNNNNNNNNNNNNNNNNNNNNNNNNNNNNNNNNNNNNNNNNNNNNNNNNNNNNNNNNNNNNNNNNNNNNNNNNNNNNNNNNNNNNNNNNNNNNNNNNNNNNNNNNNNNNNNNNNNNNNNNNNNNNNNNNNNNNNNNNNNNNNNNNNNNNNNNNNNNNNNNNNNNNNNNNNNNNNNNNNNNNNNNNNNNNNNNNNNNNNNNNNNNNNNNNNNNNNNNNNNNNNNNNNNNNNNNNNNNNNNNNNNNNNNNNNNNNNNNNNNNNNNNNNNNNNNNNNNNNNNNNNNNNNNNNNNNNNNNNNNNNNNNNNNNNNNNNNNNNNNNNNNNNNNNNNNNNNNNNNNNNNNNNNNNNNNNNNNNNNNNNNNNNNNNNNNNNNNNNNNNNNNNGAAAUGGGAGAAAACGGCGAACGAUUCACCGUCUUUGUAAGGAAACCCUGACGUGGCACCCACGUGGCGAAGGAGGGUUAGUUUUACAAAUAAAUUUUUACAGGGUCAUUUUGCCAAUUUCAAUUUUGGAGGGUCAUUUUAUAAAAAAGCCCUAUAUAUAUAUUAUAUUAUAUAUCUCGAGCUCGGCUCGAAUUAAUUUCAAUCCAAGCUUGAGCUUAAAUUUAGACUCGAAAUUAAUUUCAAGCCGAAUUUGAGCCGAGGUAAGCUCGCUCGAGCUCGGCUCGUUUCCACCCCUAAGUACAGUGGAGCAUAUACUUAUAAAAUUUUAUUUUUACUUUUUUUUUUUCAAAAUUUAUAAUUUAAUAUAAUAGAUAUUAUAUUUAAUGCUAUUUUUUUUUACAAAAGUUGUAGGCAAAAAUUAUUAUUAUUUUUUUGUUUUAAGAAGUGCUUUGAAGAUAGUCAAAUCUGCUUGCAUAGACAUAAUCUAUAGUAUUUAAAGAGAUAAGAAUAAAAAUUUAAAAUUUAAAAUCUCUCAUUUAUAAAUAUUUUAACUUUUAUAUAAAAAUUAUUGGUAGAAGCGUACACACUUAUUUAAACUGCAAAUCAUUUUGAAUUGACUAUCCAAUUUUUCAAAAUUUUAAUUUUACUAUUCAAUCUUUUUAGUUUCAAAUUUUAAAUGCGUCGUUUGUUUUUACAGAUUUAGUUAACAUACUUUUAUAUAUAUAUAUAUAUAUAUAUAUAGAGUUUUGCUAGAAUACUAUCGGUAGUAAACGGCUCGGUUUACUACCGAUUUGUUUUCAAUGAUAGAGCUUCCAAAUUGAUGAUUGGCACCGUUAAACAUAAUCUAAACUAUUUAAACUAUGUGGAAAUCAAAUUUUACACAUUUUCGAUAUUGUUCUCUUGUUCAUCAAGUGAACAGAAAAAUGAAUGGCUGGAAAUGAAUAUCCUUUAAAAAGUAAUGAUACAAUUUUUAUAUUUGAGAUCUAGAGUCUAGAUUUUAUUUUAAAUAGUUUAAAGAAUUUUUUAACAAAAAUUUAGUUGAUUUGAACUCUUCUACACCGUUAAAGAGCAAACGCACUAUAUUGGCCAUUAAAAUUAUAGAUUUUGUGACCUUUUGAUCGUUCAGUUAGUGAUGCCAAAAAAUCAUGAAAUUUGAUUUCUAGCUAAUUUAAAUGGUCUAGAUCAUGUGAGGGAUUAGGAUGCACACCAUUUGUAAAUUAACAAUAAUAAAUAAAUAAAUAAAUAGCUAAAUAAAUAAAUAAUAUAUGUAUUAUAGGUAAAUAAAAAAUACUUAUAAAUAAACUCAUACUAAUAAAAUUUUUGCAAAAAAUUAAUUUUUUUAAAUUUAUUUUAUUUAAAAUAUAAAUAUAGUUUUUUUUCUAAAUUUUUAUAGAAUUGGAUGUUUAUGUUAAUUUAAUAAGUUUUAAUUAAUUAUAAUUAUUAAAUUUGAUAAAAAAAAAAUGAGAGAAACCGUUUAAAAAUUUUUUAAGUUUGAUUUACAUAUUAAAUUAAAUAAAUUAAAAAUUUUAAAUGUGUCGAUUAAUAAGUUGAAAAAUUAUUGAAAAAUAUAAAAAUAUUAUAUAUAUUACUUAUUUAUUUAUAAAUAGUAAUUUAAAUAUUAAUAAAUUUAUACAAUUAUUUUAUGUUUUUAGUUGAAGGUAACCUCACCACUCUAUCUGAACAGGUGACAAAAUUCAUAAAUACAACUAUCAGCUUCAUAUUACCAAACAGAAGAAAUGUAACUGCAGCAGUUGCAACUGCGUAAAACCAAACAGACAUAGGUGUUCUGAGUUACAACUGCAGCAUUCUGCAACUGCAUAUAUUUUCCAAUACACGUCUGCAACUACAUCCAACCAAACGGCCCCUAAGAGUUUAUUUAAUCCUAGGGAGACCGCAAUUCAUCCCAACCAUACAAUUUUUAAUCAAAAGUCAAAAUUCAAAAACAUCAAAUCUCUAUAUUUUUCGAUAGCAUAGUAUAUUAUAUAUAGAGUCCGGCUACUAUACUAUUGAUAGUACCAAGCCUUUGUACUAUAGCAUGUUUUCUACCGUUAGAUUUACCUGUGAUUAUUUCCACCCGUUAGAUUAUAUAUUAAACCAACCACCACUCAACCCUAGGAGACCACUAUCAUCCUAACCGCACAUCCUUUCAUCAACAGCCAAAAACUCAAUAGUCCAAGGGCUUGGUAUAUUAAUAGUAUAGGAGCAUAAUUAUAUAUAUAUAUAUAUAUUAUAUAAUAAUAAUAUUAUAUAUAUAUAUAUAUAUAUUAUAUAUAUAUAUAUAUAUAUAUAUAUAUUUAUUAAAAUAUAUAAAUAUAAUAUAUUUUAAUUAUAUAUAGGCUGAGUGAAUAAUCUCGAGUUUAGUUAAAAUUGAGUCAAUAUUGUUUGGCCCAUAAAAACAAACCAAUAGACAAAUAAAAGAGCAAAAUUUACUAAAUUUAUAUAUUUUUCCUUUCUUUCUUCUUUCACAGAGGCUCUCAAUUUUCAAUAUGUUCUCUCUUUCUCUUUUUUUCUGUCUCUCACCCUAAGUGGCCAAGCGAAGCCCCUCUAAGUUACCAAGUAACAUCAUAUGCCCACCGUGCCUAUCUUAUUUAUUAAUUGUAUGCUUGAGAAAAUAUACAGAAUAUUUUUAAAGUAAAAAAUUUAUAUUCAUAUAAAAUUUUAACUUUAGUUAUAUAGAUUGGAUAGUUUAAUCCAAUAUUAUCUAUAUAAUUUAUUUAUUUUUUACUGCAUAAAUGAAAAUGAAUAAUAUAGAAAUGAAGGUAAAGAGAAAAGACAUGUAAGACUGAAAAAAAUUAGAUAUUCAACUCAUAAAUUAUUUUUUUCAUAUUUAAUACUAUAUUUCAUAUAAUUAUUUUGCACUUUGAAUUAUUAGAAUAUUUUUGUAUCAAAUUAUAGAUAAUAUUUUAUAUAAAUUAAACUAUUGAUCGUAUAAUGUCGAGAAUUUCAAGCGGGCUCGUUUAAGCUCGAGCUCACUCGACUGAAAUUAGGCUCGCUCGGCUCGGCUCGAAUUAAUUUCAAUCCAAGCUUGAGCUUAAAUUUAGACUCGAAAAUUAAUUUCAAGCCGAAUUUGAGCGAGGUAAGCUCGCUCGAGCUCGGCUCGUUUCCACCCCUAAGUACAGUGGAGCAUAUACUUAUAAAAUUUUAUUUUUACUUUUUUUUUUCAAAAAUUUAUAAUUUAAUAUAAUAGAAUAUUAUAUUUAAUGCUAUUUUUUUUUACAAAAGUUGUAGGCAAAAUUAUUCAUUAUUUUUUUGUUUUAAGAAGUGCUUUGAAGAUAGUCAAAUCUGCUUGCAUAGACAUAAUUCAUAUAGUAUUUAAAGAGAUAAGAAUAAAAAUUUUAAAAUUUAAAAUCUCUCAUUUAUAAAUAUUUUAACUUUUUAUAUAAAAAUAUUGGUAGAAGCGUACACACUUAUUUAAACUGCAAAUCAUUUGAAUUGACUAUCCAAUUUUUCAAAAUUUUAAUUUUACUAUUCAAUCUUUUAGUUUCAAAUUUUAAAUGCGUCGUUGUUUUUUUACAGAUUUAGUUAACAUACUUUUAUAUAUAUAUAUAUAUAUAUAUAUAGAGUUUUGCUAGAAUACUAUCGGUAGUAAACGGCUCGGUUUACUACCGAUUUGUUUUCAAUGAUAGAGCUUCCAAAUUGAUGAUUGCACCGUUAAACAUAAUCUAAACUAUUUAAACUAUGUGGAAAUCAAAUUUUACACUAUUUCGAUAUUGUUCUCUUGUUCAUCAAGUGAACAGAAAAUAAAUGGCUGGAAAUGAAUAUCCUUUAAAAAGUAAUGAUACAAUUUUUAUAUUUGAGAUCUAGAGUCUAGAUUUUAUUUUAAAUAGUUUAAAGAAUUUUUUAACAAAAUUUAGUUUAUUUGAACUCUUCUACACCGUUAAAGAGCAAACGCACUAUAUUGGCCAUUAAAAUUAUAGAUUUUGUACCUUUUGAUCUUCAGUUAGUGAUGCCAAAAAAUCAUGAAAUUUGAUUUCUAGCUAAUUUAAAUGGUCUAGAUCAUGUUCAACGGUGCCGAUCGUCGAUUUGGAAGCUCUAUCAUCAAAAAUAAAUCGGUAGUAAACAGAGCAGUUUACUACGAUAGUAGCCCAGUCAAACUCCCUCCCCCUCUCUCUCUCUCUCUCUCUCUCUCUCUCUCUCUCUCUCUCUAUCUAUAUAUAUAUAUAUAUAUAGAGAGAGAGAGAGAGAGAGAGAGAGGAGAGAAAGGAUGAGCUCUUAUGCUUUAAAAGUACCAAGUUAUUGGUACUUACAGAUUUUUUGCCUUUGAUUAAGAAAUAUGCAGUUAGGAUGAUGUGAGCCCCCUAGGGUGGAGUGGGUGGUUGGUUGAAUGGUAUAAUUUAACGGGUGAAAAUGAUCAAGAUGUAAUCUAACGGUAAAAAAUUACAAGUACCAAAUACUUGGUGCUUUUAUAAGCACUAUAGCCAGACUCGUNNNNNNNNNNNNNNNNNNNNNNNNNUAUGUUCAACGUGCGAUCGUCGAUUUGGAACUCCAUCAUCAAGAAAUAAAUCGUAGUAAACAGCAGCUUUCACUACCGAUAGGUGGUUGACCCAGAUUCUCAACCUCCCUCCCCCCUCUCUCUCUCUCUUCUCUCUCUCUCUCUCUCUUCUCUCUCCUAAUAUAUAUAUAUAUCUAUAGAGAUCAGAUGACCGAGAACGAGAGAUUUUUUUUUGAUAUUUUUAUAAUUUUGUAGGUCUUCUUGAUCUAAAUGGUAUCUGUAUAUAUUUGUUGUACUACAGUUUUUCCUUGAUUAGAAAUAUUGCUUAGAUGAUUGAGCCACUAGGUGGACGGGUGGUGGUGAAUGGAUAUAAUUUAACGGGGUCACCGCAUUGGUGAAAAUGAUCAAAGAUGGCCAAAUCUAACGCCGAUAAAAAAUUACAAGCUACCAAAUAUUGGUGUAUUUAUAAGGCACUAUAGCCCAGACUCUCUCCUCUUCUCCCCUCCUCUCUCUCUCUCUGUUCUCUCUAUAUAUAAUACUAUAUAUUAGUAUAUAUAUAUAUGCUCUCCGAGCACACCUAUAAAUUCAACGUAGAAGUUAAAAAAGUCAAAAUUAUUUUAAGAUUAACAGGCCCCGGGCCCCCGCCGAGAGGGCCAUAAUUACACUCUUCAUCUGUUCCGAUCCGACCUGAUAUGAUGGACCACAACUACAGUAUGGUAAUGGGUCCUCCCCAAACCCCUCCGAAAGAAGACAGAGACAGGCACUUUGAAACACAUUGAUAAGCAUCCAGCCUGUUCAACAUCCCAAUUAUCUAUUCCAGCCUCCAAAAAAUUAAAAAAACCCCUCCACUGUCACCUCGGUGAUGAUAUCUGUUCAAGCUUCGUCAAUUCAUAUAUUAUUCACAUUUCUAAGCUAAAUUUUUUCUAAAUAAAUAAAAGCAAGGAUAUAGAUCACUCAUUCUUAUUUCUUAAAAAAAAAAAAAUUUCCAGCCCAUACGGUGCGAGUAAAUGAAAUAUUUUAAAAAAAUUAUUUAUUUUUUAAUUUACGUAUUUUUUAUUUUAAUUAUUAGCCUACACUCUAUCUCCUUCACCUCGCACACUACCAACUCUAUACUCUUAUUUGCGCUUAUCAGUAUUCUUAUAUCCCGGUAUUAUAUUGCAUCAUAUUUGAUCCUAUAUUUCCAAACUUUACAUUAGUAUAUCUUUGACUCCACUUUAGAAUCUUAAUAUCACUUUAACUCUGACUAAAUAAUUAAUUCUAUCCCGAUAGACUGCAUCACAAAUCACCUCCUAUACAGUCAUUGCUAUCAUAUAAUUAAACAUUUAUACUACUUUUACAUAAAAUGAUUAUCAAUAUUUAUCAAUAAUCUACUAGUCGAGCGUAAUCUAUAUUAAAUUUAUAAUUGAAGAAUCUAAAUAGUGUCGGCUCGGUCACAGUUUGAGACCAGUUUGUGACUGUCUCUUUCUCUCUCUCUCUCUCUCUCUCUCUCUCUCUCUAUAUAUAUAUAUAUAUAUAUAUAUAUAUAUAUAUAUUCCAGCAACUAUAAAUUUAAUAGAAUAAAAAAUUAAGUCAAAUUAUUUUAAAAUUAAAGUGUCGCAAUAAUACACCCUCUCAUCUGUUCCAUCCCGACUGGAUAUGAUGGCCACCAACUACAAUGGUUGGUGGCCCGUCCCAAGACCGGCCGAAAAAGGACAGGACAGCACUUGAAACACAUUGAUAAUGGAUCCAGGCCUUUCAACAUCCCAAUAAUUCCAGCCCAAAAAAAAAAAAAACUAGGUGAUUGAUAUCCAAGGUUUCAAGUUCGAAUUCUAUUUGAUUCACAUUUCUAACUAAAUUUUUUUCUAAAUAAAAUAAACGAAACGAAUAGCAUACUAUUCUAUUUCUUAAAAAAAAAAAAAAUUUCCAGCCCAUACGGUGCAGUAGAUAUGAAAUAUUUUAAAAAUAAAUUAUUUAUUUUUUAAUUUUACGUAUUUUUUAUUUUAAUUAUUAGUUAAAUUAGUUUAACUAAUAAUAAUUUAAAUCGGUAUAUGUGCGUUAUAGAUUUUUAUACGGUAAAUUGCAUAUUUGAUUAUUCAAACUUUAAUUUAUUAUGAUCUUUGGAUCCAACUUUUAGAAUUUAUACAUUAAUUGACUAAAUAUUAAUUUAUCGCUAACGCAAAAGUGAUAUAGCAGUAUUGCAUCAAUAAUUAAAAUGUUAUAUUACUUUUACAUAAAUGAUUAAUCAAUAUUUAGUCAAUUAAAAGUUCGAGCGAAAGAUUAUAAUAAAUUAUAAUUUGAAGAUUAAAAUAUUGUCUGGCUCGGUCACAGUUUGGACCAGUUUGGACUGCGUCUUUGUCAGAUAUCUCCAAAUUAGCAUGGAAGGAGCGGGGAUAACUGAACUAGAUACUGGGGAUGUUAAGCAGCUUUGGACUGAGACUACUCAGUCCCCGAAUGCCAGGUAGAGAACGAAUAGGCUCACACAUUUGGCGGCAAUCUGGUGGGUGGUAUGGACGAAGCACAACAAGAUCAUAUUCAGCGGGGGGUCUCCCGAUGCUACCCGUGCAAUUGGUCGUAUCGCAUCAUUGACGGAGGCUUGGACCGAAGUGCUUGACCCGUGACCGUUCGGUAGUCCUGGCAGUCUCCAUCUUGUUUUGUCUUUUGCUUGCUCGCUUCUAAGUUUUGUAUUCCUUUUUGCUCUUCCUAUUUUGUUUUCUUUUGCAGUUUUUGUAUUCCUUUUUGCUCUUCCUAUUUUGUUUUCUUCUGCGGUUUCUCCAGUUCCUUUAGGAGGCCUUAACUGUCUCCAUUUCUUGUACGCUAAAUUCAUUUGGCUUAAUGAAUGAAGCAAGCUACCUUUUUCUCAAAAAAAAAAUAUUGCCUGGCUAACUAGCUCAUAGUUUGAGGACCAAACAUACAAUUUACUCGAUUUUAUAAGAGUAACUAAUUAAUAAAGCAUUGGCACGAAGAAAGGUAUAGAGGUAGGAGUGUAAUGUGUUUUUCGGGCUGAAACGGGCUCACUGGCCUGAAUUUAAUUUCGGGGCUGGCCGUGCCGGGCCCAAAUUAUCUAUCCUCUGGCCGCCCGGCACAGCCCUUCGGCCUGGGACGCACGGGCCGUGCUUCGGGCCGGCCUAAUAAAAUAUUUAUUUUUAAAUUUUUUUAAAUUUUUUUAAAAUAUAAACAUCCAAUAUUUUCAUUUAAAAUUAAUAUUUUGAUUAAAAUAAUAAAAAAUUAUAAAAAUAAUUAUACUAAAAUAAAUAUUUAAUUUUAAAAAAAUAAAUUUGUAUUAUUUUUUUUAAAAAAAGAUAGACUUUGGUCCAAUGAACCAAAAUAUUUUGGUCCAUUGGACCAAACUGCACCUCCCAAGGUCUGCCUUGGGAGGAGAGCUCCUGGGGAGGCCCUCCUCCCCAGGAGCUCAGACCACAUGGCCCAAGGCAGUUGCCUUGGGCCACGGGGUCCGGGUUCGGCUCGCACGGCCCAAGCGGGCCGUGCCGUGCCGAGCCGCCCGCUUUUCCUAGGCCCGACACCAUCCAGGCCGUUUCGGGCAGUGCCAUGCCCAGCCGUCAGGCCCCAAAGGGCGGCCAGCACGGCCUAGAGCCUCGGGCCGGCCCGGCCCAGCACGUGUGCUACAGUACCCGUGCCGGGCUUUAGCCCGGCCCGAGGCCAUGCCGGGACGGGCGGCCCACGUGCCGCCCGGCCGGUUUUACCCCCUAUAUAGAGGCUAGCGCGCAAAGCAAUCGAGAAGAUGAUAUAUGUACAAGUAAAUAGCUAAUAUGAGUGUUAAAUAAUUAAAACACAUUGUAUGUCUAUCUAUAUAAUUUCUUAUAAUAAUUUUCGAUUAAGUAAUUUUAUUGUUGAAGAAUAAUUCUGCAAGAACUCGUCAAUUAAAUGUGAAAAAUAAGAAAUAAUAUAAUCAGAAAAUUUUAAGUUGGCUAAAAAAAAAGAAGAUACAAUAACUGCAAGGUAAUAUAAUAGCUACUAUUUAUUAAAAAUAUUUUAUAAAAUUAUAAUAUGGAAUAAUAAAUAAAAAUUUGUUUUUUUUAGAUAAAUAAAAAUUUGUUCCGUGUAGUAAAUAUAUCAUUACAUUUUAUACAACAGAAUUUUUUUUAUAUGCAAUUUUUUCUGCAGUUUAUGCCCUGUGGACUUGUGGUUGCCAUUAAUUUAUUGAAUUACAUUUUGAUUUUUAUUAUUAAUUAUUAAAAAGUAGGUGUGUUUCAUGCUGUAUAUUGAUCAAUAUCACGCAGAUAAAAAAUACUGAAAGAGAAAUUAAUGAUACACCUUUAAAUUUAAGGUUUAAGUACAAAAAUCUCCAUGCACUUUAUCAUAUAUCUUAAAUAUAUUCCUAUAAAAUUUUUAAACAAUGACGCUUUAUGAUCUCCUGUCAAAUAGGUUUAGUAGUUUAUAGAUUUUAUUAAUUUUUGACGAAAGUGUUAAUGAUGGUGACGUGAAAAAAUAACAUGCAUGAAUACUUUUUUAUGAUUCCUCUUAAAGUUGGAUACUUAAAAGUAUAUUUAAUUAAAAGAGUUUAAAUGAACUUUAAAAUAUAGUAUCUUAUCUCAACGUAACGCCGUUAAAAUUAAUAAAAAAUAAUAAUAAAUAUAACGUACUAAAGUGCAGAGGUGAUAUCAAAGAUAUUUGAAACAUGAGUAGAACUGUUAUACUAUCGAAAGUAUAAAAUAGUUAGUGCUUUCGAUUUUUUAGUUCUUAUAUCAAUCUCAUUGAUCAUUUCUAACUAUUGGAUUAAUAUUAUUAAGCAAUGGGGACCUCUCAACCCUAAGAGAACCGCUAUCAUCCCAACCAUAAAAUCUUUUAUUCAAAGACUAAAAAAUUUAAAGCAAUAAUUAUUUUAUGCUACUCAUAGUAUAGUAAUUCUACACUUAAAACAUUGAGCUCUUUAUUUACAGCAAUAGCUCCAGCAUUUUGCAUCAGAUUGUCCGAGAUAGAUUCUUCUUAUAUUAUACAGAAAAUAAGAAAGGAUGAAAGCAUUCCGAUACAGCAUAUAAGUGAUUAAGUUGGGUCACAUGGUGGGGCAGAUGGACCCAGGGUCUUCCUCGCAGACGAUCUUGCAGCCGCCGCCGGAGCACCGGGGACAGCCGCCAGCACCGCCACAGUGGCCGCAGCUGGGCGGGGUGACGACCUUGCAGCACCAGGUACAGCCGCCAGCACCGCCACAGCGGCCGCAGCUGUGCGGGGGCCACGAUCCGCUGUCUUCCUUCCCGCACGUGCAGCACUGGUAGCAUCCGAUUCCUCCUCGGUGAUCGGGGCGCGGCGACGGGCACGGGCACGGGCACGGCUGCCAGCAGCACCUCGGCCACGGACACGCCGGCGGCGGAGGGGGAGGAGGUGGCGGUGGCGGUGGCGGUGGCGGUGGCGGGGGCGGUGGCGGUGGCGGUGGUGGUGGCGGGCACAGUGGCGGUGGCUGGCACGGCCACGGCGGAAAAAUACACACCACCUUCGGCGGACACGGCUUCGGCGGCGGCGGCGGGGGAGGGGUCGGCGGCUUAUCCGGUGGCUUCGGCGGGGGAACGAUCUCGAUGCCCGUGAUCACGUCGCAGGCCAUGCAAAGCAGCUUCCUUUUCAGGCCCUCGGCAUCGAAAGGGCCGGAAACUUUGACGGUGUUCUUCUUCUUGUCGUAUUCGAUGGUCUGGAUCUUCUCUCGUUCUCCCAAGUUAGCAAAGAAGGAGAAGGAGAGGCACAGUAAGUAAUGUUAAAGAAUGUGAAAUAUUGCAGUCUGCUCCGAUACCGUAUUUAAAGAAGUAAAUUUUGAAAACAGCGUUUUCAUAUUAUGAAAUGCAUGGCAAGCAGUGCAAGACAGGGACGGAGCCAUUGUCAGACUCACAGCCGCCAUGGUCCCGCUGGAUUUUUAAAAAUUAUAUAGAAAUCCUUUAUAAUAAAAAUUAGAAUAUAUUAUAAAUUUUAAUUUUAGGGGAAACAAGUUCGCUAUUUUUUUAAAUAAACUUUAUGUUCCAAUUUUUUUUCGAACCUCUUAGUUCUUUUUCUUCAACUACUCUUUUAUUACAUUAUCGCUAUUGUCGUCAACAAUAGGUGGCCAGUAAAUCUGACAAACUCUUUUUCGUACUAUUCGAGGUCGAAUUUUUUCUUGCUAAAUUUAAAUCACUUUGUCCCUGGUGCAAGGGAAGCUUGAAUAGUAGAGAAUACGUACCUUGGAGCUUGCACAGAACCUUUCUGAUCUUCUUAUAGCAGUGGCAGCAUUCCAGGUCUACUUUGAUGAUUAGUGUGGAGAUCUGCAAGAGCAAAAGUGAUUGGCAUAGAAAAGAAAUUGAGCACAACAAGCAAGCAAUGCAGCUGAUGUGGAGACUGAUCAAAAUUGAAUUGCUAGGAAAGUUAAAACCGAUAUCGCACUUUGUAUUUUAAGGCAAUAUCAAAGGUUCUGCCGAGUACAUAUGGACUGAACACUGUAGAAUAGAAAUGUUGAGACUUCAAUUAAGGUCGAGGAAUUAAAUGAAGUUUGAAGUCCGACGAGGCUCAAAUUUGUGAGCUCUUGUUUUUUAACUUUCAAUAUCAUGUUAAAUUAUGAAAAAUUAAUAAUCAUAUAUGUAAUGAUCUGAUUUAUUAGUAAUAAUAACUUGUUGGACUCAAACUACCGAUCCAAAAUGUUUAAACUCAGUUAUCAUUAUUAGAAUGGAAACUUCAAUGGUUCAUCCGAUGUGCACUCCUUGCUAGGCAAUUUUCGGCUGGUAUUCGAUUCUGAUACCAAUUGUAAUGACUAGUCCGUUACCAAUAAUAAUUUGUUGGGUCCAAACCACCGGUCUAAAAUACUUAAAUCCAACUAUUAUUAUUAGGAUGGAGGCCUUAUAUAUUUUAAUCAAAAUUAUUUUUUCAUCCAAUAUAAGAUUAUUAAAGCAUUAAAGUGUAUCUCUAAAACAUAAGCUAUUAAAUGAUGGUAUUUUUAAUAUUUAUAUUCAGUAAUGCUAAAAAUAAGCAGCAUCUUUCGUUAUCUCCAAAACAAAACAUCAAUGAAAUUCUCGGCGAGAAAAAAAGCGAUGCUAAAAAUAAGCAUCGUCUUUCGUUAUCUCCAAAACAAAACAUCAAUGGGAUUCUCGGCGAGAAAAAAAAACAAAAAGGAGAGAAGUAUCAGAGAAUUGGAAAUUUGAGCACCUUCUCAGCCAUUGCUUGAACCGAUUGAUGUAGAGACCAGCGAGAAAGCAGCGAGGGAAACAAGAAGAGGCAUGCUGCUUUAUAAAGCUGUUGAACUUCGAAGUCUUUCAAGUUACAGAACGCAGGGCGGAGCCAUUGAGGGGCCACAGUGGCCAUGGUCCCCCCUUCAAUUUUUUUAAAAUUACAUAAAGGUCCUUUAUAAUAAAGAUUAAAAUUUUUUUCCUGAGAGAGGUAGAUAGCACGCUACCCGCUUCGUUUAUUUCAGUUAGAAAUAAAUUUAGCUGGAUAUGUGAAUCAACUAAAAUUCGAACUUGGGUCUCGGAUAUCAACCAUCAAGUCCUUUGCCACUUGCUCUAGGGAAGGUCGAUAAAAAAAAAAAAAUUAUAGAUUUUAAUUUUAGGUGGCCAAAUUAAUUUUUUUAAUAAAAUUUGUCUUUUUUUUUUCGAAUUUUUUUUUGUUCUUUCCCUUCAAUUCUCAUCGUCUUGUUCCUCUCUAAGUAUAUUAUCGUUAUUGUUGCUAGUAAUAACUGAUCAGUGAAUCCGACAAAUUUUUUUUCCUUACUAUUCGAGGUCAAAUUUUUUUCUAUCAAAUUUAAAUUUUGGCUCCCCGAAUUUUAAUUUCUGGCUUCGUUCCUGCAGAAAAGAACUGAAAAGAAAGUAAGCAAAAAGAACAGACCAGUCCCUGUUAGCGUCUGGCAAAAUUUGUAUCAUAAUACUAGAGAGCUAAAGAUAGGAUGCCAUUUAAAAUUAUGCUAUAUAUAAAAUUAUUGGGGAUAAAAUUAAGAGUAGUACUAUUUAUAAUGUGGUUUGUAGUGCAUAUUUUUUUUGUUGUGCAAUAUGCAAUUUUGGUUGGUGAGCACUCUAGUGGGGUCUAGUAUUGGUUUCAGUGACAGUGAGAGAGCCAUGGCCAUGCAUGAGAGUUGUUGCGCUAGGGCUGUCAACGACCGAACAAUAGCGAGAAAAGGGUCGGCUCGUGUUUGCUCAUUUAUUAAAAGAGGUGAAAACGAGUAGAUUCGUUAAAAUAUCAGCCGAAAAAAUUCAACUCAUACUCUUGGAUUUAUUGUGUUUGGCAUAUUACUCUUAGAUUUAAAAAUAAAUAAAUAAAUAAAUGUACACUUUGUUAGCUAUUUAUUAUUAGCUAAAAUAGGUCCAAUUUUCUGAGGUUAAACAAUAAAUCUAAUAUCAAGAUGGUUUGAAUUAGGUUGAGCCCUUAAGUGCAAUAGGUGCUUUCUUUCUAUCAGCACAUACUUUUGAAAUAAUUAAUUAGUGCUUACAAUCCACACACACUUCGGUAGAUAAUACAAUAUAUUAAUUGCGUCCAGAAAAUUCAAUAUUAAAUUCGUGUCUUUUAAUUUCCACUGAAACCAACGGCAUUGACAAAUAUGAGAAAACAUUUGAAAUACAUGAGCUUGCCACUUCCUGUUUGCCUACUAGCCAUCAAGAUAAGGAUUUUAAGGAUGGCAAAAAAAAAGUGAAGAUCACAAUUUCUGCUAGGGUUCUGUAUUCAUUCAUCCCGUCGAAGUCAAAGUGUCGAAGAAGAAGAAGAAGAAUCGAAGAAGAAGAAGAAGAGAGGAUUUCAAGUCUAUUUUGAAGUUGUAAUAUGUGACAAGAUGAAGUUUAGGUUGACAACUUUGCAAACCCCUUAAUGAUGUUGAUUUGUUUCUUUAAGGUUUCUUCAAUAUUGUUUACAACCUAAUCAAUCUACAUUGCUAGUCACUUUUACCCCUUAAUGAUGUUGAUUUGUUUCUUUAAGGUUUCUUCAAUAUUGUUUACAACCUAAUCAAUCUACAUUGCUAGUCACUUUUACUUUUCCGACAAAGGAUUUGGUGGCUGGUAUCUGAAGUUCCAAGUUCGAAUCCUAGUUGAUUUAUAUUUCCAGCUAAAUUUAUUUCUAAAUGAAAUAAACGAAGCUGGGAGUAUACUACUUAUCUCUAAAAGAAAAAACUUUUACUUUUAUGACUGCUGUCACUUUAAAAUGAUAAUAUUAGAAUAUUAUUAGUGAUUAAGAAAAUUUAAACGCUAGAAGCUUUUGAUUUCUUAAUGACUUAAGUCUAGUUUGGUAAUAUGGUGGUUAACAUGCUUCUCCCGUCGUGGCUUAGUUUGGUGCAUGUGAUGCUCUAAUUGAUCAGGCGCGGUUAGUAUUUUUUAUAGCGAAGAAAAAUUUAUUACUUGUACAAAGUGUAUGCAUAUAUUUUAUACACAAUAUUUUUAAAAUUCUAUUAUAAAAAUUUAAAUUCUCUAAUUAUUUAUGUAUAGACUUUGUGCUAUUGAUCACAUCUGUGAGAUUAAAAUUUGAUUUUGUAAUAUUAAAAUAUUAAAAAAUAGAUUGAACGCAGGUACGUAGUCCACUAAAACUUUCGGGUGUACGGAAUCUCUUACAACGGUUAAGAGGGUUAGUUGGGGAAAGCAUGUCGCUUUAAGCUCCGCCCCAACCACUCUUUAAUGUAACUAGCGAUAGCGAUGUGAUGUGGUGGAUAUACUUUGUAAGUUCUUAAUUGCAUAUGUAAAUAUAUAUAGUAUGCACUAUUUAUAUAGAAUUAUUUUAUAGAGUCAAACAGUGUCAAUUUUGAUGUAAUUAUUCAACACAUAUUUUAUAUGGAAUCAAUUCCAAUGUGAAAAUAUUUUUUGAAGCAAAAUAGUAUAGUUUAUAAUAUACUUAUGUUUUACGUCAUUUUGUUCAAAAAGUACAUCUCUAAUUUUUUUAUGUUUGUAUAAUAAUAAUAAUAAUGAGAUAUACACUAAGCUGUUGUUAGUUGGAUGUAAUAAUAAUUAGAGAAAUGAUUCGGUACUUUUUUUUUAAAAAAAUAAAAAAGAUCUUAACCGUUGAUUAAUAUAGGGUAAAAAUAUAAUUUUAAUACUUAGCAGGUAAAAGGAUUAUUUUAUUCUAGGUUAGUUUGGUAAUUAAACAAUACAACAUUUAAAGAAACUUUUAAUUGGGGUCCUAAAUUUACGCAUUAAUUGGCACUAAUUUAGAAAAUUAAUUGAUUAACCAAAUUUAUGCAAUUAUUAGGCAUUAAUUUAGGCAUCUACUUUAAUGUUUUAGUGUUUCUAAAAUUAUGCAUUAAUUUAAAUUAUAGGAAUUUUAGAAAUAGUUUUAUUUCUAAGUACGAAGUACGAUGAAUUUAAAUUUUAAAUAUUAAAUACUUAAAAUUUAAUAGUGAAAUUUAAAUUAGAGGAAUUUCAUAUUAGUGCUAAUAAAAUUGUAAUGUUGGUAAAUUUUUUUUCAACAUAUUUAAUAUGUUUAAGAAACUUUUAAAUUCCUAUAGUUUAGACAUUAAUUUUGUAUCACUUAUUUAAAAAAUUUUGAAUGUAGGUUAAAAUAUUUAUAAUUUAAAUGUAUUUAAUAAGUUAAAAAAAAAAAAGAAUUGUUCUACUUUAGACAUUAAUUUUGUAUGACUAUUUAAAAAUAUUUAUAAUGUUGGUAAAAAACUAAAAAAAAAUUAAUAUCCUAUAAUAUGAUAAAAUUUGAAAAUUCUCAUAUCGAACUAGAAAAAAAUUAACUAUUUCAUUCUUAUUUUAUUAAAAAAAAAUUUAGAAAGCAAUAGGAAUGGAAAGAAAUUUUAAAGCAUAGUUUCUUAAAAUUAAACUUAUUUACAAUAUUAAACAAAUAAACAAAGAAAAAAGAAAAAAUUAAAAUAUCAUACUGUCAAAUCAUUUGAAAAUUUUCUUAUAUGAAAUGCCAAAUUAUGAAAGGAAAGAUAGAGAGAGAAAAAGGAAACAAAGAGAAAAUAAAAAAUUUGAAAAUAUAGUAGAGAUAAAAUGACUAAAUUGCCUAUGUAUUACAAGACAAAAAUAUCCUUUUUUGAGAUACCUGGUAACCGGUACCUCUCCCAAAGUGAUCUGCUAUUGCAGGUCACAAUUUAAAAAAAACUAAAUCUAAGCCGUUGAAUACGCGUGAAUGAACGGUAACAAAAAAAAAAAAAAGUGUAGAAGCAUUACUGUAAUAAUUAUAGUAAAAUUGUAGAUGCAUGUAUGUGAUUAAAAUGCAGCAGUUAUUGUCACAUUUUUUUUGAUUGAUUGAAUGUAAUAGAAAGUGUUGCAAGAAUGAAUAAUUUAUUUAGUUUCAUUCCGUUAGGAAUUGUAUAUCUAAAUUUGUUACUUUACAUAUAUAAUUGUGAGAUCAUCUCUAAUGUGUGUGUGGGAGCCCGCGAGUGGGAGCCCGCGCGUGGGAGUCCAACUAUGAUACUUUUAAAAGUAUCAAGUAUUUGAUGUUUGUAAGUUUUUCAUCUUUAGAUCUAUUCUUUUGACCAAUUCGACUUAAAUUUUGUUAUUUUAUCAAUCACGCACUCAACUUUAGGGGACUGUGAGUGUAGUCUGGUUAUUGUGCUUUUAAAAGCACCAACACACUUAGUACUAGUAAAAUUUUUCACCGUUAAAUUUAUUUUUUUUGACCAAUUUUAUCCCUUAGAUUAUGCGUUAUUUCGCCAACCACUUAUUUAAUUUUAAGAAACCACUAUUAUCCUAAACUUAGAAAGUUUUAUCUAAAAAUGGAAAACUUCUGAGCACUAAAAACUUAGUGCCAUUUAAAAACGAGGAGUGCUCGGAUUGUAAUUCUACAAUAACCUCAAUGCCGUACCUCUCUUUUUGUCACUAGUCUUACUAAUUUUAUUUUUUUAAAAAAAAAAUUCUCAACACUUUUUGAAGAGUAAUUGUAUGGAUUACAAAUUUUUUGGGUAGCAGACUUAACAUUUUUCGAGAAGAAAGAGGUGUCAUAAAUCUAUUAUAACUUAUUUGAAUUGUAGUAGUUGUUUUGCAGUAGCUUUUUUGAAAAAAAAAAAGAAAAAAAGAUUGACUAGUUUUGCAUUUUUGCAAAAAAGGCCACAUUUUUAUUUCUACAUAAUUGAAUUGAUUUUAUUUUUCAAUUGAUAAAUCUAUUAUAACUUAUUUGAAUUUUAUUAUUGACUCUCAAAAGUAGUUUUUAUUUUAUUAUUCUUCACUUGAUUCCAAGAGUAGAGGAUUGCAAAAUUACAGGAGAUGAUAGAGAGAAAAAAAUAUGGUAAUCUUCAAAUUGAAGAAAUAUAUACUUUUAAUGUUUCUAGAAGUAUAUUUAUCCUUUUUUAUAAUAUUAUUAUUUUCUUGAUUGGUAAGUUUAAUGAGAAUGGAAAGUUCAUCUUUAGUAGUUUUUCAUCAAUUUUUGCAGACUAUUUAAAUUAAUAUUUUUUAUUUUAUAGAAAUAAUGAUUAUUUCGAUAAUGUCUAUCCACCACAUCGCGCAUGCAACUACACUAGUUUAACAUUACAAAAGAUAAAAUGGAGGAAUCCAAAUUAUAUUGGACCUUAGGGUACACUUUAUUCGGGCAAAAAUUAUAUGGGCAUGGUCUCCAAACUAUCAGUUUGGGGACGGUGCCGAUAGGCACCGCGUGGUCUGCGCGCGCCCACUGCAUGACCAAAAAAAGAAAAAAAAAAUAUCGGGCAUGAUUUGGAAGGUGAGGAAUGGAAGGUGAGGAUGGGCCACGGCGGCGCCCAUCGGCAUCGUCCCAAAUUGAUAGUUUUGGAAGGAUGCCCAUAAAAUUUUUGCCCACUUUAUUCGCCGGUGGGUGCUCUGUGGAUCCCGUACGGAUUAGUGAGAGCGAGUGAGAGUUACGCGCACCUCGUCGGUCGGUGCUCUGCUCUGUGGACCCAAACCAUCGCCCUUUCUCUCUUACGUAGUUUCACUUGUAAUACCGUACAUCAUCAAAGAAUAGAGAUGCGACGCCCUAUUUCCUAUAUAUUAGGAACAUUUAUUAUAAAAUUAUUUUAAUUUUAGCACACUUAAUUUUUUUAAUUUCUAAAAUUUAGCCAUCUCCUAACAUAUAUAAAAAAUUUAGCUUUAUUAUAUUUUAUAUACGAGAUUAUUUUAAAUCCUGAAGUGUCAAUCACGAUAUUUAUUAUUUGCAAUAAAAUUAAUUAAAAAGAUUUGUGGAGAUGAUCUAAUGGCGGCGGGGAGUAGUCCUAAAUCUUUGUUUAGAGCAAACGAUCGAUGAUCACAACCGAAAAUGAACCAUAACUCCCCAUUAGUCCCAUAAUUUUUUUUCUUCUUUUUGUUUAAGAAUCAAAAAGGGAUUAGUAAAUCCCAAACCAACAUUAUCAGGAGGCCGAAGCAUGAAAUGAACUUUUUCGAUUUAAGCAUUCGUCGAUCGUGGGGAAGCAUGUCAUUUUAGGAACAGAUUCCUUUGUUUCGUGGAAAUCUAUUGAAGAUUCCCAUGGAGAUAAAUAUCAUCCUUAAUUAGUUGAUGCUGGUUGGUUGUUUCUCACAUAGUUUUGUAGGAUUCGAGCAGUGGGUGAUUGAAUUUUUUUUUUUUUGUUUUUUUUCAAGCUUCGAGGCCUAGUUGUCUCAGUUUGUAGCUUAGUUCAUAUCCUUAAAGUAGAAUAUGACAAGAAAAGUAACAAAAAAAAUAUACGUGAUUCGACUUAUAGCCUCUCGAAAAAGUACGGAAGAAAGUGCUAAAUUAUAUAAAAUAAUUAUUUUUUCAAAAAAAUGUCACCUGAAAAAAAAAUUAUGUUUUUAUUAUUCAAUGCUUCCUUCGUGUCUAGACUCGAAAAUGAUACUUCUAUUAUUUAAUUAACAGAGUUUUUUAAAAAAAUGCUUUUUUCAUAAAAAAAACUCAUAUAUUCUAAUUUCUGUCUAUUUAGCUUUUAAAAUAACUAAUUUUUCUUGUGCUUUUCUUUUUAGUUCACAUUUUAUGAGAAGCAAUGUUUUCGGUUUCUUUUAAUUUUUUCCCCGAAAAACAACUGUGUUUUUCCAUUUAUUUGCAUAAGAAAAGCUACAAAACAAAGACACUGACAAAUAUAAGAAAAACACCAAAUUACAUGAACUUGUCAUAUACUUCAUAUUUCCCUGACAGCAGCCAUCUAGAUAAGAUUUUUAAGGAUGGCAAAAAAUGUGAAGAUCACAAUUUCUGCUAGGGUUCUAUAUGCAUUCAUCUUGUCAAAGUCAAAGAAGAUCGAAGAAGAGGAGAAGAGAGGUUUCGAAUCUAUUUCAAAUUAUAAUGUGAGAUAAUAUGACAUUUAUGGAGAAAGGGACUCAAACUAAGGAUAAUUAAAUAAUGUUACGAGGAUGAUGGGACUCGAAGUCGGAACCUUAUAUUCUGACGUUUGCUAGCACUAAAAACGUGAGCUUAAUCAAAUGAAAGAAAAUUAAAUAAUGAUGGGAGGCUAACAGGACUUGAACUCAUGAACCUCAUGUUUAGAUGUCUGGUUUUGUCGUGCUUCGACUCUAAAGAAAAUUAAAUAAUGUUAGAAGUUACAUUUCUAUCAAACUCAAAACCUUAUGUUCUAUUGUCAUAUUAAAUUAUAUAAAAUAACUAUAUAUUUAUCUCACUGACUAUUCUUAGAGCAAGUGGUAAAGGGCUUGGUGAUUGGUACCCGAGACCCAAGUUCGAAUCCUAAUUGAUUCACAUUUUUUGCUAAUUUUAUUUCUAAAUGAAAUAAACAAAGCGGGUAGCGUGCUACCUAUCUCUCAAAAAAGAAAAGAAAAAACUAUAUAUUUACCUCUAAAAGAUUAUGCCAAUAAAGAACGGUUUAUAUAUANAUUCGAUAGAGUUAAUCUUAGCAAAACUAUGCAGUAGCAGUAGUGUUAGUGUGGCAUCUUUAGCUACAAGUGACAAAGGGUUAGGUGGUUGGUAUUCAAGAUCCCAAAUUCGAAUUCUAGUUAAUUUAUAUUUCUAACUAAGUUUAUUUCUAAAUAAAAUAAACGAAGCGAGUAUCAUGCUACCUAGCUAUCUCUCAAAAAAAUCUUUAGCAACACUUUGCACAUCAAAUAUGGGCGGGAGAGGAGUAAACAACUAUGCAGUACAGUGUAGCAUAUACUUAUAAAAUUUUAUUUUUACUUUUUUUUCAAAAAUUAUAAUUUAAUAUAAUAGAUAUUAUAUUUAAUGCUAAUUUUCUUUACAAAAAUUGUAGGCAAAAAUUAUUAUUAUUAUUUUUGUUUUUAGAAGUAAGUGCUUUGAAGAUAGUCAAAUCUGACUGCAUAGACAUAAUCUAUAGUAUUUAAAGAGAUAAAAAUAAAAAUUUAAAAUUUAAAAUCUCUUAUUUAGAAGUAUUUUAACUUUUAUAUAAAAAUUAUUGGUAGAAACACACACUCUUACUUAAACUGCAUAUUAUUUUGAACGGACUAUCUAAUUUUUCAAAAUUUUAACUUUACUAUUCAAUCUUUCUAACUUCAAAAUUUAAAUACGUCGUUUACUUUUACAGAUUUAGUUAACAUACUUACAUAUGAUUCUAACAACUAUAAAUUUAAUAAAAUAAAAAAUUAAGUUAAAUUUUAAAAUUAAAGUGUUGCAAUAAUACACCCUCUCAUGAUCUCAUCUGUUCCAUCCCCAUUGGGUAAGUUGCCCACUAACUACCUUCAAUGGUUGGUGGCCCGUCCCAAGAACUGCCGUAAAAGGACAGUACGUAUUUGCAACACAUUGAUUGAUACUGCAUGGAGCCAUGAAUCCAUGCCUUUCAACAACGCAAUAAUUCCAGCCCAUGCAGUUGUCCCUGGCGGCUGGCGCACGUUGCAAAAAACUUGAUAAUUGAUAUCCGAGGUCUCAAGUUUGUAUUCUAAUUUAUUCACAUUUUUAACUAAAUUUUUCUAAAUAAAAUAAACGAAGCGGAUAGCAUACUACCUAUCUCUCAAAAAAAAAAAAAUUUUUUUUUUAGCCUGUAUGGUGCCGCAGAUAUAAAAUAUUUUAAAAAUAAAUUAUUUGUUUUUUAAUUGUACGUAUUUUUUUUAUUUUAACUAUUAGUUAAAUUUGCUUAACUAAUAAUAAUUUAAAUCGGUAUAUGUGCGAUAUAGUUUUUUAUAGGGUAAAUUGCAUAUUUGAUUAUUCAAAUUUUAAUUUCUUAUAAUUAAUCUUUGGGUCCAACUUUUAGAUUUUAUAUAUUAAUUGACUAAAUAUUAAUUUAUCGCUAACGCAAAAGUGAAAUAAUAAUAUUGCAUCAAUGAUUAAAAUGGUACAUUACUUUUACAUGAAUGAUCAAUCAAUAUUUAGUCAAUUAAAAGUUCGAGCGAAAGAUUAUAAUAAAUUAUUAUUUGAAGAUUAAAAUAUUGUCUGGCUCAUAGUUUGAGGACCAAACAUACAAUUUACUCGAUUUUAUAAGAGUAACUAAUUAAUAAGGCAUUGGCACGAAGAAAGGUAUAGAGGCUAGCGCGCAAAGCAAUCGGGAAGAUGAUAUAUGUACAAGUAAAUAGCUAAUAUGAGUGUUAAAUAAUUAAAACACGUUGUAUAUCUAUAUAUAUAAUUUCUUAAUAAUUUUUAAUUAAGUAAUUUUAUUGUUGAAGAAUAAUUUUGCAUGAACUCGUUAAUUAAAUAUAAAAAGUAAGAAAAAAUAUAAUUAGAAAAAUUUAAGUUGGCUUAAAAAAAUAGAAGAUACAAAAAAAGCAAGGUAAUAUAAGAGCUACUAUUUAUUAAAUUUAUUUUAUAAAAUAUAAUAUGGAAUAAUAAAUAAAAAUUUGUUCAGUGUACUAAAUAUAUCAUUACAUUUUAUACAACACAAUUUUUUUUAUAUGCAAUUUUUUCUGUUUAUGCCCUGUGUGGCAUUUAUUGAAUUAUAUAUAUUUUUGAUUUUUAUUAUUAAUUAUUAAAAUGUAGGUGUGUUUCAUGCUGUAUAUAUUGAUCAAUAUCACGCAGAUAAAAAAUACUGAAAGAGAAAUGACACACCUUUAUUUAAGGUUUAAGUACAAAAAUCUCUAUGCACGUACUUUAUCAUAUAUCUUAAAUAUAUUGGUAUAAAUAUUUAAACAAUGACGCUUUAUGAUCUUCUGUCAAAUAGGUUUAGUAAUUUAUAAAUUUUGUUAAUUUUUGAGGGAAGUGUUAAUGACGGUGACGGGAAAAAAUAACGCGAAUACUUUUUUAUGAUUCCUCUUAAAGUUCGAUGCUUGAACGUAUAUUUAAAAGAGUUUAAAUGGACUUAAAAAUAUACUAUAUAUCUCAACAUAACGCGUUAAAAUUAAUAAAAAAUGGUAAUAAAUAUAACUAAAGUGCCGAGUUGAUAUCAAAGAUAAUAUUUGAAACGUUAAGCUCUUUAUUUACAGCAACAGCUCCAGCAUCUUUCAUCAGAUUAUCCGAAAUAAAUUCUUUAUACUUAUUUGAACUGCUAAUUAUUUUGAACUGUAAAUUAUUUUGAGCCGACUAUCUAAUUUUUUAAAAUUUUAAUCUUAGUAUUCAAUCUUUCUAACUUCAAAAUUUAAAUGCGUUGUUUAACAUACUUAUAUAUGAUUCUAGCAACUAUAAAUUUAAUAAAAUAAAAAAUUAAGUUAAAUUUUAAAAUUAAAGUGUUGCAUUAAUACACCCUCUCAUCUGUUCCAUGAUACCAUCCCGACUGGAUAUGCUGGUCACCAACUACAAUGGUUGGUGGCCAGUCCCGAGAACGGAAGAAAAAGGACGCACUUGAAACAUUGAUAAUUGAUCCAUGUCUCUCAACAUCCCAAUAAUUUAUUUUAAUUGUUAGUUAAAUUAGUAUAAUUAAUAAUAAUUUAAAUCGGUAUAUGUGCGUUGUAGAUUUUUAUAGGGUAAAUUGCAUAUUUGAUUAUUCAAACUUUAAUUUAUUAUAAUCUUUGGGUCCAACUAGGGGUGUAAUGUGGGCCGUGCCGGGCCCAUAUUUUUCGGGCCGAAAUGGGCUAGGGGCCAGCCCGGCCCGAGAUCAAAUCGGGCCGGGUCGUGCCGGCCAACCCCUACCCUCCGGCCCAGUACGGCCCCUCGGCCCGGAAGGCAUGGGCCAUGCCGGGCCGAACCGGGCCGUGCUCCGGCUAGCUCAUUUUUUAAUUUUUUAAAAAUAUAUAUAUGAAAUCUAAAAAAUAUAAACAAUAAUUAUUUUUAUUUAAACUGAUAUUUUAACUAAAAAAUUAAACUUAUAAAAAUAAUUAUAAAAUAAUAAAUAUUUAAAUUUAUUUAUAUAUAUAUAUAUAUAUAUAUAUAAUAUAUAUAUAUAUAUAUAUAUAUAUAUAUAUAUAUAUAUAUAUAUUUGCAUUAUUUUUUUGAAAAAAAAAAAGAAUUGAGAUGUGUUUUUGGUCCAAUUUGCUUUGGUCCGUUGGACCAAAAUCACUCCUCCUGCUAGGCAGACUUUGGAAGGAGAUCUCCUGGGGAGGAGGGCUCCUCCCUAGGAGAUCAGACCCCAGGCCCAAGGCAACUUGCCUUGGGCCUGGGGCACGGCCCAAGCGGGCCGUGCCAUGCUGUGCCGAGCCACGGGCCUCUCUUCGGCCCGGCACGGCCCAGGCCCGUUUCGGACCGUGCCGUGCCGGACCGUUGGGCCCCAGGUAGGCGGCCCAGCACGGCCUGGCCCGGGUGCUACAGUGCUGUGCUAGGCCACGGCUCGGCAAGCAGCAGUGCCGGGCCGGGCGAGCCACGGGCAGCCCGGCCCGUUUACACCCCUAGGUCCACCUUUUAGAAUUUAUAUAUUAAUUGACUAAAUAUUAAUUUAUUGUUAAAGUGAUAUAGCAGUAUUGCAUCAAUAAUUACAUCAAUGGUCAAUCAAUAUUUAGUCAAUUAAAAGUUCGAGAGUUAAAUUAUAAUAAAUUAUAAUUUGAAUAUUAAAAUAUUAUCUGGCUCAUAGUUUGAGGACCAAACAUACAAUUUACUCGAUUUUAUAAGAGUAACUAAUUAAUAAGACAUUGGCACGAAGAAAGGCAUAGAAGCUAGCGCGCAAAGCAAUCGAGAAGAUGAUAUAUGUACAAGUAAAUAGCUAAUAUGAGUGUUAAAUAAUUAAAACACAUUGUAUAUCUAUAUAUAUAAUUUCUUAAUAAUUUUUAAUUAAGUAAUUUUAUUGUUGAAGAAUAAUUUUGCAAGAACUCGUUAAUUAAAUAUAAAAAGUAAGAAAAAAUAUAAUUAGAAAAAUUUAAGUUGGCUUAAAAAAAUAGAAGAUACAAAAAGUGCAAGUUAAUAUAAGAGCUACUAUUUAUUAAAUUUAUUUUAUAAAAUAUAAUAUGGAAUAAUAAAUAAAAAUUUGUUCCGUGUACUAAAUAUAUCAUUACAUUUUAUACAACACAAUUUUUUUUAUAUGCAAUUUUUUCUGUUCAUGCCCUGUGGCAAUUAUUGAAUUACAUUUUUCUGUACUUGCUAAUAGGCUGGAAGGUGUGUUGCAUGGUAUUAUUUCUCCCUCACAAACCGCUUUCCUUAAGGGACGCUCGAUCCUAGAUUCAUUUGCAACCGCAAGUGAAGUGGUAAACUGGUGCUCUAAAACGGGCGUAGAGAGUGUCGGCGUUAAAGCUGAUUUCGAGAAAGCGUACGAUAGAGUGAGCUGGGGCUUUCUCCUGAAGAUCUUGACGUGGCUCGGGGCCGCGCCUAUCUGGUGCACUUGGGUUGAACAAUGUAUUGCUAAGGCGAAAGUUGGCAUACUUAUUAACGGCACUCCGACCAAAUGGAUUAAAACCAAGAGGGAACUUCGCCAGAGUGACCCCCUCUCACCCUAUCUAUUCCUUUUAGUUGCUGAAGGUCUUGCGAGGGUGAUGAAUAAAGCUGUUAUCGGUGGUCUGGUGAAAGGGGUAGGGCCCAAUUCCGACACCAAAGUAGCUUUUAUUCAGUACGCUGACGAUACUCUCUUCUUCUGUGAGGCUAAGAAAAGACAAGUGAAGAACAUCCGUUUUGUAUGGCACAUCUUUGAGUGGGCCUCGGGAUUGAAAAUUAACAGGAGCAAGUCCGAACUUUUCUAUUUAGAUGGGAACAUCCAGCAAGGAGAUAGAUUGGCUGAAAUCUUAGGGUGUAAGGUGGGUGCUCUUCCUACGAAAUAUUUAGGGCUUCCACUAACGAACAAAAGACUUUGCAAAUCAGACUGGUGGCCAAUUAUCAACAGGAUUGAACGACGGAUAGAAGGAUGGCAAGCUAAACUUCUUUCUACUGGCGGCAGGCUAGUCCUGGUCAACUCAGUAUUAACGAACUUGCCCAUUUAUUUUUUCUCUGUGUUGAGAGCUCCAAAAUGGGUUAUCAAGCGUAUUGAAGCACUUCGGAGGGCUUUCUUUUGGAAAGAAAGGAGUACUGUGUUAGGGGGGCAAUGUUUGGUACGGUGGAAGACGGUUUGUAGGAGCAAAAGGGAGGGCGGCCUGGGGGUCCUGGAUCUACAGAAUAUGAACGUAGCAUUACUAGCUAAAUGGUGGUGGAGGUACCUCUCUGAUAAGAAUACUCUCUGGAGAAAUUUCAUAAGAGGGGUAUAUUAUACGAGAAGGAUACCCCUGAGAAAAGGGGCCUCUUUUAAACCGUUCUCCCAGUGGUGGCAGAGUGUAAUGUCGACGAGAGAGAUUUUUCGGUGCGGGGUCUCCUAUAGUAUAGAGGACGGUAAUUCCGUGAGCUUUUGGAGGGACAGAUGGUGUGCUCAAUUGUCUCUUCUUUCGUUGUUCCCCAAAAUAUUCAAUGCCGUAGGUACGAAAAACCUACGAGUGCGGGGGUUUAUAGGCACGGACGGCUGGAGGUGGCAAAGGAUAUUCCAAGGGUUUACGGCAGAAUCCACUUCAGACGACGACUCAAUCCUGGCAUUGAAAGAUCUAGUAAACUCAUGCAUCAUAUCAGAACGUGAGGAUGAAGCUAGAUGGAGAUGGUGUACCUCCGAACUCUUCACAGUUAAAUCAUUAUACAAUUUUCUGCAGAAUAGUGGUGUAUCUGAGAUGAAGUUUGUGUUGCUGUGGAAAAGUAAAAUUCCGCUUAAAGUGAAAAUCUUCGGAUGGCUCGUAUUGCUGAAGAGAGUACUCACUAAGGACAACCUCGCGAAGAGGGGAUGGUCAGGCGAGGCCACGUGCAAUUUAUGUCUGCAUGAAGCUGAGCCUGUUGACCAUCUAUUCAUAAGGUGUUAUGUGACGCGAACGCUGCUAGAAUGCUUAUUACCUAAUAAGGACUUCCUAAGGGCAUGUUCGUCUAUAGACAGUCUCUGGAAUGAGUGUCGGGGUAAACGAGGAGCGGUAGGGAAAAAGGAGGUGGUUAUCUUACUUGCUACUUGGUGGGCCAUCUGGUUAGAACGGAACGGAAGAAUUUUUGACAACAGAAAGCUCACGGUGAAACAGGUGUUGACGAACCUGCGUGCCACUAUUGUUUUGUGGGAGGAUUUAUGCGUUUAGUUUUUUUUUUUUUUUUUUCGAAUCGAACCGAAGCCUAGCUGCUUCUAUCCUAUGCUAAAUUCACUUUCUUCAUGAAUGAAGCGGUAGCAUGCUACCUUACCCCUCAAAAAAAAAAAAAAAAAUUACAUUUUGAUUUUUAUUAUUAAUUAUUAAAAAGUAGGUGUGUUUCAUGCUGUAUAUAUUGAUCAAUAUAUAUCACGCAGAUCAAAAAUACUGAAAGAGAAAUGAUAUUUAAGUACAAAAUGUUGGAGAAAAUUCAAAAUUUUAUUUAUUUAAUAUUUAUUUUUUUAUUAACUUUUAAUUAUCAAUUAGCGAAACGGCCGCAUCAACUACGGCCGUUUCGGCGAGGGGGAUCGUGCGCAGAUCCGUUCCACUAAUUAAGACCUUAUUGUUGCUUUGGAACGUUGUGGGUCCAACGUUCCAUACUUUAACCUUUUAUAUUUUGUUACCAUCGUCCAUGUAAUUGGACAGGACAUAUAUAUCAUAUGAGGUGAACACUUUGGAAUAUAGAUCACAGUGAGAAGGAUACUAUUUGAGAAUCAUUUGUUUUUUUCUUUCAUUUUUAUUAUUUUUCACGGUGUGAAAGAGUCAUUCCGUCAACCUCUUUCCGCGAUCGUGCUCGUAGGAGAGAGUUCCGGUCGUACCUUGGGGCGGUGUUUCCGGUUAAUCCCGCACGAAGGACGGAAUACGCCUUAGGCAGCUGCUUCGCCGCUUCCGGUAUCAAUUAAAUUUUUAUUUGGAUUUUAGCGAUUAUCGGUAAGUUGAUUUUAUAAUUUUUCUAUCAUAAGAUUUUAUUAGAUUUUAAAUCACAAUCGUUUUCUGUGCGGUAUGUUGUCUCAACAAUCUAAGCGUAAUUUACGAUUUGAUUGUGAUUGAAAUCUGACGAGUGCUAAUCGUAUUAAAUUAAUUUUAUAUGUAUAUAAUUUGUUAGUUAAUUUGUUUGUAUAUUGGCAUUCAAACAUAAAAUUUUUCGGAAUUAUCAUUUUUACCUAUAAUUGCAUAUUAUGUAAUUUUUUGUUUAAAUUACAUUUUAUGUUAUGGUAUUUUAAAAAAAAAAAAAAAAAAAAUUGCCUUUCUUGUAGCUUCUUUUGAAAUAAAAGGUACGGACAUUAUGGAUUUCAAAUAUUAUGUAUAUUGUUUUCACUAUUUUUUUUUAUAAGUUAAAAAAAAAAAAAUCAGUGUAACCGUAUAUAUAUAUAUACUGUUCCGUUGCUAAUAUCUGUUCUUAUUAGUUUAAUAUCUGAUAUAUGUGGCUACUUGCAACCUCGAUAUUAAUUAAUUUUUUGGGGAGGUAUCUACCCAUGAUGCUUGUUACUUGGAAUUUUAUUCAUGUUCGUUGCGCUGCACUGCUGUUCGAGACUAGCACACUUAUGUAUGUCGUUUAAUUAUUAUUUUGCUUAAAUAGAAAAAGAUACGUCGAUGUUAUUUUUGUUAGACAAAUUGAUUGCAUGUUUGUCGUUCUAUUUAAAUAAUUAGAUUAGUAUUUUCAAAUUCUAAUUGCAUAUAUUUACUUGUAAUUGCAUAUAACUUAAUUAUCAAUUAUUAUAUUCUCAUAUCGUGUUAUAGGGUGUUUUAAGUUUGUUUAUAAAAAAAAAAAAAAAAAAAAUUUUAGUGUUGCGAAUUUCUUGAUCAGGUAAAUCCAUUUUACUUUGUUUUCCACAAUGACAUUGUACAGAUUUAUUCAAAAAAAAAGAAAAAAAAAGAAAAAAAAAAAAAAAAAGAGCUACUGUUAAAUUAUUUUUUUAUAUUGUACGGCUUAAAAGUUUUGCUACAGUUAAAAAUUCUUUGGUAAAAAAAAAAAAGAAGAGAAUUUGCCACAGUAAAUUAAGGAGAGGUUUGCUACACUAAAUUUAGUUUAUGUGUACGGAUGCGUUCGUACCGCAUCACCUAGCUAUAUCUAUCUCUUAGUUGUCACUCAUUUGUUACAUCUAGUAUUUUAUCAUUGGUUAUAGUAUAUCAUUUAUUUUGCUUGUGCCAUCUAUUUGUUGUUGACCCAAAUUUAUUAGACAUGAUUAGGCCAUAUUUUUUAAUUCUGAUAUAUUUCAAAAACUUGUGGGGGUACUCUUUUAUCAGUUUGAAUAAAUUUUUGAUUAUUAAUUACUCUCGUAAUUUUAUCCUAGUGUUCAUCUUGGAAAGAUUUUGCAAAUUCUAAGAUUGGCAGGUAAAUUAUUUUGAGAAUAAUUUAUUAGAUGGACUAACUUUUAUAAUAUUAAUUUUUUAAUGUUUUUCAGAUCUGAUCAGAAUCUUGCAGAUUGCUUGACGAAAGGCUGAAUAGGACUAAGGUCUAGAGUCAUCGAGGGGGAUGGGAGCUUUGCCGUAAGGGCCUUCCUGCAGUAGGGAACCACCUUGUGAUAGGGAGUCCCUUGAAGAAGGUUCAAUGUGGUAAAAACAAGCUGCUAGGUUGGCCAAGGAGACUUCUACAAUUUUUAUAAGAGCUUUAGCUCCAAUUCCAUCCCUAUUGGUGAGUGUGCUCUGUGUAGUGGAUGUGGUUGACUGAGAGUCUUAAUGGGAUCCAAGGCGAUAAUUUCGCGAGAUGUGACUCUCACACAUCUCUGGAGGAAACACUAUUAAGAGUAUCGUAUGUUGGCGACGGCUAUGAGAUGUGGGUUAUCCAUAGAAGCUCUUUAUGAAAAUCAAUGGUACUGUGCCGGCCAUUAACGCACAGACCCGCGACGGGGAAUUCUGUACUAUGUGUGUGAUAGUUGAGUCGGGUCAAAGGAACGUAGUUCAAGACUGGUUCAUCCGAUUCCUUCUGAUGGAAACUAUUUGCCUAAGUGUGAGGUUAAGUCUCUUAAGACACCUUACCUGAUUACAUAGUAUAACACUCGGUGAUUAAUUGAUUUUCUUUAUUUGUUGUUUAAUUUUUUAUUUUAUUUUUAUUAUUUUAUUUUAAAAUAAUUUUGAUUUGUGGGGAAUUGUUGAGAAAAUUCAAAAUUUUAUUUAUUUAAUAUUUAUUUUUUUAUUAACUUUUAAUUAUCAAUUAGCGAAACGGCCGCAUCAACUACGGCCGCUUCGCGCGAGGGGGGGAUCGUGCGCAGAUCCGUUCCACUAAUUAAGACCUUAAUUAGUGCUUUGGAACGUUGUGGGCUCCAACGUUCCAUACUUUAACCCUUUAUAUUUUGUUACCUCGUCCAUAGUAUUGGACAGGACAUAUAUAUACAUAUGAGGUGAACACUUUGGAAAUAUAGAUCACAGUGAGAAGGAAUACUAUUUGAGAAUCAUUUGUUAUUUUCUUUCAUUUUAUUAUUUUUCACCGAGUGUUGAAAGAGUCUCCGUCAACCUCUUCCGCGAUCGUGCUCGUAGGAGAAGGAGUUCCGGUCGUACCUUGGGGCGGUGUUUCCGGUUAAUCCCGCACGAAGGACGGGAAUACGCCUUAGGGCAGUGCUUCGCACGCUUCCGGAUCAAUUAAAUUUUUAUUUGGAUUUAGCGAUUAUCGGUAAGUUGAUUUUAUUAAUUUUAUCAUAAGAUUUAGUUAGAUUUAAAUCACAAUCAGUUUUCUGUGCGGUAUUUAUUCCAACACAAAAAUCUCUAUGCACUUUAUCAUAUAUCUUAAAUAUAUUGGUAUAUAUAAAAGACGCUUUAUGAUCUUCUGUCCAAUAGGUUUAGUAAUUUAUAGAUUUUGUUUUUCUCAAAAAAAAAAUUUUUUAUAGAUUUUGUUAAUUUUUGACGAAAGUGUUAAUGACGGUGACGUGAAAAAGUAACAACGAAUACUUUUUUAUGAUUCCUCUUAAAGUUCGAUACUCGAACAUAUAUUUAAAAGAGUUUAAAUGGACUUAAACAUUUACUUAAAAUUAAUAAAAAAUGAUAAUAAAUAUAACUAAAGUGCAGAGUUGAUAUCAAAGAUAUUUAAAAUAUUAAGUUCUUUAUUUACAGCAACAGCUCCAGCAUCUUGCAUCAGAUUGUCCGAAAUAGAUUCUUCUUAUAUUAUACAGAAAAUAAGAGAGGAUGAAAGCAUUCCCAUACAGCGUAUAUAUGUACGUGAAAGGUUAAGUGAUUAAGUUGGGUCACAUCCUGGUGCAGUCGUACGGGGAGUCUUCCUCGCAGACGAUCGUGCAGCCGGCGCCGGCGCCGGCGCACCAGGGACAGCCGCCAGCACCGCCACAGCGGCCGCAGCUCGGCGGGGGGCACCAUCCGCUGUCUUCCUUCCCGCACGAGCAGCACCGGUAGCCUCCGAUUCCUCCUCGGUGCUCGUGCCGCGGCCACGGACACGGGCACGGGCACGGCUGCCAGCAGCACCCCGGCCACACCAGAUAAGGAUACAGCACCCCCACCACCUUUGUCGGCGGAGGAGGCGGCGGCGGCGGCGGUGGAGGGAGAGGAGGGGGCGGCAGAGGCAGAGGCGGAGGCGGAGGGGGAGGUGGAGGGGGAGGAGGGGGUGGCGGAGGANAAGGAUCUCGAUGCCCUUGAUCACGUCGCAGGCCAUGCAAAGCAGCUUCUUUGAGAGGCGCUCGGGAUCGAAAGGGCCGGAAACUUUGACGGUGUUCUUCUUCUCAUCGUAUACGAUGGUCUCGAUCUUCUCUCGUUCUCCGAAGUUGGCAAAGAAGGAGAAGGGGAGGCACAGUCAGUAAUAUUAAAGAACCUAAAAUAUUACCUUCUAUUCUGAUACCAUAUUAAAAGAUGUAGAUUUUGAAAACAAGGCAGCGUAAGGAAAGCUUAAAUAGUAGAGAAUACGUACUUUGGAGCUUGCACAGAACCUUUUUGAUCUUCCUAUAGUAGCGGCAGCAUUCCAGGUUUACUUUCAGGACUAGUGUGGAGAUCAGCAAGAGCAAAAGUGAUUGGCAUAUUAAUUAAGCUAGCUCCAUGCAGUUGAGCACAACAAGCGUGCAUGGUAUAGCUGAUGUGGGGAGUGAAAUAUUCAGUUGUUAGGAAAGUUAAAACCGAUAUCGCACUUUGUAUUCUCACUUCAAUUAAAUUCAAGGAAUUAAAUGAAGUUAGAAGCCUGAUGAGAUUCAAAUUCAAUAAGCUCUUGUUCUGAUAUUCUAUUAAAUUAUGAAAAGUUAAUAAUUAUAUAUAUCUCCUCAGGCAUAGGUUAGUAAAUGGUGGUAUUUUUAAUAUUUAUGUUCAAAACUGCUAAAAAUAAGCACCGGCUUUAUUUAUCUCUAAAAACGAAACAUCAAUGAGAUUCUCGGUGACUCGACAUCUUAGUUUUUCAAAAAAAAAAAAGAAAAAAGGAGAGAGAGAAAUAUCAGAGAGUUGGAAAUUUGUGCACCUUCUCAGCCAUUGCUUGAGCCGAUUGAUGUGGAGACCAGCGAGAGAGCAGCGACGGAAACAAGAAGAGGCAUAUCACUUUAUAAAGCUGUUGAAGUUCAAAGUUUUUUUUUUUAAUUUAAAGAACGCAGAAAAAAUAACUGAAAAGGAAGUAAGCAAAAAAGAACAGACCAGUCCCUGUUAGGGUUUGGUAAAAUUUGUAUUAUAUUACUAGAGAAUUAAAGAUAGGAUGCCAUUUAAACUUAUUAUUAGGGGUAAAAUUACGAGUCGUGUGGUUUGGGGUGCAUUUUUUUUUUGUGCAAUAUGCAAUUUUGGUUGGUGAGCGCGAUCUGGUGGAGUCUAGUGUUGCUUUUAGUGAGAGUGAGAGAGUCAGGGCCACGAGAGUUGUUUGCGCUGGGCCUGUCAACGAGCCCAACACGAGCGAGAAGAGGGCCGGCUCGUGUUCGCUCAUUUGUUAAAUAAGACAAACAUGAAACUGAUUCGUUAAAAUAUCGAGCUCAAAAAUUCAACUCACAUUCUUGGACAUAUUGUGUUUGGUAUAUUACUCUCAGAUUUAAAAAAAACAAAUGUACACUUUACUUCCUUAGGUCCUACAAUAUAGUAAUUGUAUUUAGAAAAAUUAAUAAAAAUUAAUAUUAGAUACGUAUCUUCUUUUAAUUUUGAAGGGUUUAAGCGUAACGCAUGAGAUAUUCAAAGGACAGUUUGCCCCUUAGCCUCAUACUUAAGCACUUUGAUUUCCCAUGCCUACGAGGAUUUAAAGCACGAAUUUAAAAGUUAUGAAUUUGAAAAGUAUUUAUUUUGCAAGAGAGAGUUUAGCGUUGGUCUCGUUCACUCGUUUCCAGCAAAUUAUAACACACAUGCAUAUUUAGCCACAAAUUAUCUAAUUAUCAAAACUUCCACUAUCAAAUUAUCAAGAUAAUCAAAGCAGAGGUUGAUAAUCAGAUCUUUAGCCGCAUGAUUCUACGGAAGCGGAAUGAUACACAUGAAUCUCACCAUGCACGUUCAAUUUGUUUCGAGAUUUUUAUUUUAUUUUAUUUAAAAAAAAAAAUAGGCGAAGCUCAUAUAUCAGGAUUGUUCUUCUGUUUCUCUAGGGCGCGGAAGGACGAAAACCACUGCUUCCAAGAAGCAUCCCCUUGCUGUUCGAUCCACGACAAGAAGGCGCUGUCCAAAAGGCAGAAGAAAUUUACAUACAGAAGCUGAUACCGCACCGGAACGAACCGGAAGUUUGCGAUUUGUACAAUCGGCCAAACCCCGCCCCCUAGUAUGAGUGCCGGGACGAAAUCCCGCUUCACGUCUUCCUUCACUUGUUCUACGCUCCGACCUGAGGCGAAGCCCAUGUACGAGAAAAAGAUCAAUAAAUCCCAGGGCCCGAAUAGCAGCCCGUCGGCAGUUAGCUUUGCGGCGACAAAUUUUACGGAUUUGGGUUGUAGGUGAAAUCGAUAACGAAUGACUCGGUCCAAGUAUUCGUACCUGUAGGAGACAAUAUAACUAAUGAUCAGAAGGAGAAAAGCAUAUUAGCAAAGCUGUUUGCAAGUUGCAACAGAUGUUGGCCCUUUUUGGCGAGGAAACCCUAAGUUAUCAUUUUGGAUUCAUUUUAACACAAAAUUCAAAAGAGAGAUGUGGCCCAUGUUCUGACCUGGUCUAAAAUCAAAUUAUCGCUAAAUUUAGGAAGUAAAAGAUUACACAGCCUGCUGAUUACAGCAAACUCCAAGAGUAAGUGACCAUUGCUCUCCUAGUCUGCAAAAAUGUGUGUAAAUUUGUUACCUAAAUUGCACCGACAUUCCCCAGAUUUUUCUUUCUUUUUUUUGUAAAAAUAAUAAUUUUCAGGCCCAAAAUGAGACUAAUAAGAGAACAAUGAACCCUAGAUUUGACAAUCGCGAAUCUCUCUUUGACUCUCUACAAACCACAUUUCAUACUAUCAAAGCUCGACAAAACAAGCCAAGAAAAAUAAUUUUUAUCAAAAAGAGGGAUUGCCCAACGUAUGGUUAUAAAAAACUAGUAGUCAUUGCGCAAGACAUUAUUUUUCCUAUAUCAAAAAAUUUGGCAAGAAACCAUCUAGAGUCCACCUUGAGUUACAAAUAUAGCAGACGAUUAGCACCUAAGAACAUCAUAGGACCAUUUCAUCCCCUGUUGGUCAGGACAAAUCGCAAUUCCACUAACUUGGAAUUGGAUGGUCGGUCCACACUGCUGAAUUACACAGUUAGAUUGUGUUGUUAAUAUGCACAUGGUACAAGUACCCUUAUAAAGUUUAGGUCUAACAACUAUUCGAGAAGAAUCACAAUAGUUUCAUGUGCAUAAGAUGGUCAUCCUGAUCUAGGGUAUGCUAUGAUCCUAAUCAUGACAAAAGAGAAAUGACGACUAAGAAAGAACAACUUAGACUAUCUACCUGCUUGGCCUAGUUCUUGAACACGUAGUCUACUCAAAAAAGCAAAAGCCAAAUGCUUGAUGAACAGAUUAUCUAGAGCUUCUACUUAGCUGGCGAGCUGAAAUUAGCUUCUAGACUCUAGACUGUAAACUCUAAUUCGAAAUUUCUGCUCAGCAGUUGCCAAAACCUUUCAAAAGUAUUUUAAUGAAAAAAGUGUACGUCUUCAAACAGUUUUAUUCAAAUAGCACUUUUGCAGAAGCAAGCCAAAUGAGCCCUUAAAAGAGAUGAUAUGAUGCUUGAGAAGCAUCGUCUUUCUUCUAGUUACUAAACCAUUCCCUUUAAAGUAAUAAUAAAUACAAUAUCUUGUAUCCGAGCCAAUUUGCUUAUUUGUCUGCAAGCAGCUCUUCUGGCUAACUUUGCUCAGAAACAUCAGCCAAGAAUAAAAUAGUAAGCACAAGAGCUGAGGGAUGAUAUAUCAAAAUUUUAUUCACAAAAUUCAAGCAAUUUGGAAAGAGCGACUUACCAGAAGUGCCCAACUGGCCCAACAAAAGCAAAUCCAAACAUACUUGUGAUACCCACCCUUUUCCAAUUGAUUUUGAACUCUUUAUCUUUCCCCUGAGAAAAUAAGAGAUUUUACCAUCACAUUAGCCACUAGUAUAAAUUAUGCCAAAUUCCAAGGAAGAGAUUCAAGUCGGACAGCAACCAAAUAAAACAUGCCAUCAUUGAAUAUACUGGUAAUAAAUCAUGAUUGGGAUUAUUACCAGUUUAUUUCAUAAUUGGAAUAUUGAUUUAACAUUCACUACUGAACUGGCGACAUGAAUAAGAAACAUUUAAACCAGUAGCUCUCGCUAGCAUAUCUACUCUCUUUUCAGCAAAGAACUUCAUCGUUCACGCAUUAUUAAAGCAUUCAUAUCUCACAACAAAAAACAGGGCUUUUCUUUUUUUUCACCUACAAACAUGAAUCACCCCAUUACACAAACAAUUGCAAAAAUUGGUCUUCUUUUUCCCCCCAAACACGAAUCACUACACUAUAACAGAUUCUACUGGAUCUUCUGUGGCAACCACAAAAGGAAAUCACUAGCGAGAUUGCAAAUAAUCGACAUAACAGCGAUCUAAUAAGAAGAAGAUUAGAUGCUGAAAAUUGCAGUGAGAAAUUAUUAUGAUACAACGCAGCUAACCCCGGGACAAAAAACCUAUCUCCGGAACAAGAAAACACCUAACUUGAACAAGUUUUCAUCUUUAUGCAUCAAAUCUUCAUAUCCCACCACAAAAAUCGUUCUAUUCUUUCCUACAUCUUUUGGGGCAACUACAACCAUUAUUACCCGAUCAAAGCGACAACAACAACAACAACCAUGAUGCAAACAACUAACGCGGAAUCCGAAUAAAACGGAACAAUAAGGAGAUUCUAAAGAUCCAAUAGAAUGAUUCGAGAUGAUGAUGAUGAUGAUGAUGAGGAUGAGGAUGAGGAUGAUUACGUCGGCGUCGGCGGGGAGGGGGCGCUUCUUGUUGGAGGAGGCGUGGUGGGUGACGGCCUGAGCUCCGAUGUCGCCCAAACCCCACAAGACGCCGGAGCUGAUCAUCUGCGUCUUCACCGGGUGCACCGCCAAGCAAUUUUGGUACCAUUUCCACACCCUCAGCAUCACCACCACCACCACCACCACCACCACCACCAAGAAGAGAGAGAGAGAGAGAGAGAGAGAGAGAGAUUGGUUUAGGGUUUAUUUGGAUGAAGGGGAAAGGGUCGAUUUCUUCAUCUUCUAUUUGAAAAAAAUAAAAAAAAAUGCAUCGGCUUGGAAUCACACAAAAGAUUCACCGAUUUGCUAAUAGUGACGCAACCUGAUUUUUUUCUUUUACUUUUAAAAAUUUAUACUUUAUUUUUUAAAAAAAUAAAAAAUAUUUUCAAAAAAUUAUGAUAUCAAUAGAGAGCAGGGCUAUUGUGUAGCACAGUAGCCUUGAUACUCCUAAAUUUUUAAUAAUUCAUCAAUUUUGAUGAAUGGUUAGGAUGAAAGAGAGAAGAGAAAUUGAAGAGAAACCAGAAUUCUUAAUUUCUCUUUUUUUUGAAUAUCUUCUCCAUUUAUCUUUUCUCUCUCAUUCUAACCAUCCAUCAAAAAUUGAUAGAUUAUAUAGUAGCCCUACUCAUUAAUAGAAGGGGUAAAAUAACCAAAUUAUUCUUAUUUGUUCUAAAAUAUGUUAUUUUAUAUAUUUUUAUUAUUUUUAAAAAUAUUUUCAGUAUAGAUUGUAAAAAAUAAUAGAAAUAAUGAUGGAACUUGCUGGAGGGAGAUAAAUAUAUCAAUUUGAAAUUUUAAGAGAGUAAAAUAUAGAUUUUUAAAAAAUAAAAAAACUAAAAAUAUUUAAUUUUUUUUUUAUAUAUUUGACUUAGUACUUUUCAAAAUAAAUGACCUGUCUACUUUCGUAUCAUCUCCCACGAAAAUACAAUUCAAAUCAAUGAUCAAAAUUACUAAACCUAAUUUAUAGGAUAUUAAUUUUUUAGGUUUCCAAUUUUAUAAUUUGAGACAUAAUUUAUUUAGUAUUAAUUAUCCAAAUGAUCUCAACAUGGAUAUUUUCUAAUAGUUAAUAUAAAGUGAUUUGAGAUCCUGAUCACUAAUCACUAGGUCAAUAAUAUUAAAAAUAAUUAUAAAAUUUAAUUUUGAAAAUUUUCAAAUAGCCUGAAUUUAUCCAUUAUCAAUUAGAAUGUCUGUCCUCGAGAACGAUACAAAAGUAAUCUAGUCACUCCUAAGCGUCUUAUCACGGUCUUAGGAAUUUUGCUCGCAAAGCUGCGCGGCAUCCAUCUUUCUUCUCGAAGAUGGACAAGUCUAGCUCACUGUUACUAGUCUGAACCUCCGUGUCCUAUGACUAACUAUACCAAAAGAAAAAGGAGGCAGUGAUUCUUAAAAAACUAAAUAUUCUACUAUUUACAAAAACAGAAUUACAAUACACAACUCUUUUUUGGUUCGGCCUUAAUUAUUUCUAUAAUUUAUAGGCCUAAGAUACAAUGAAUCUAACCUACCAUAACUUACACACUAAAGUCUACACAUAGUAAUAAGCUCUCAUAAAUGUAAGGUGAAUUCAUGGAUUGCCUAUGAUUUGAUUGUAGCAGUUGUAUAACCUUUUAUCUCCCAAAGACUGUUGGUUUAGUACCUUUUGGCUGCCCAUUUAGUGAAGUUGAGUUAGGGACUUGUUUUUGGCUUUCCACUUAGGGAAAUUGGGCCAGGGAGUUGGCUGAGCUGAAAGUUUUCUAAGUCCUAACAGUAUGCUAGCCUAACUUAAGGAAACACUAGUGAAGGAGCCCGCGCUUUGCAGUGGAUAGAAACCAUAGUAGUAAUUAGUAAUAAAAAAAUAUUAAACAUUAUCCUGUAUGUCUCAUUUAGUAUAUCCAGCAAAAGUCUCUUACUGUUGGCGGCGGAUAUGAGCCCGACGAUGCCUUCUCCAGCGAUGGUGAUAAUGACGGCGACGACGAUCCCUCCGACCGCAGCGGAGGGGGGAAGUGGGCGCUCAUUAGUGAGAGAGAGGGCAGGAGCAAGAGAAGGAGGCGAUGAUAUAUAGCAAAAGAUGAGAGAUAAAAAAUUGAUGAAUAGAUUGGAGAUAAAGAAUUAAAAGUCCGAUGGAGGGAAGAAAAAAGACCAUGAUGAAUAAUUAAAGAUAGAGAAGUUAGAAUUGUAGAUAGUAGCAGGACCAUUUAAAUAUAUUAAUUGGAAGUUGGGUAAUGGGGCCGUUGCAUUAAUUGAAAGUAUAGUGGAAGAAAGGAAAAUAAUCAUGAUGAAUAAUUCUAGAUAGAAACUAUAGAAUUGUAGAUAGUAGUGGACAAUUUAAAUGCACUAAUUGAAAGUUUGGUUGGUGAGAUCUUUAAAAUGUAUAUUAAAAAUUUGGUGAAGGGAAGAAGAAUGGUCACAUGGUAGUGAGAGUGAAAAAGAAUUUGCCACGUAGCAAUAAAUAUUGAGGAUUCAUAUAAGUUAUAGAUAGAUAGAUGUUCUCAAUAAUAAAACUUAAUAAUCGAGACGGUGGCUGCAGAGACCCGACUAGCCAGUCCAUCUGGAUACUUAAAACUCCUUUGAAAAUCAAGAUAUUUGUCUGGUGGCUACUACGGAAUAGACUUCUCACCAAGGACAGACUGCGCACCACGACUGGGCCCGAGGAGGAAACCUGCGUCCUCUGCGCCAGCGCCCCGGAAUCGUGCGAUCACCUGUUUGGUAACUACGUGUAUGUUAAAUACCUGCUCUUCAACGUUGCCGGCCCGGAGCUACUCGCCGAACCUCAGAUAAAGGCCCGAGAACUAUGGAUCAGACUUCUAAGUCAAGGAAACGUCAAGAAAAGAUCGAAGGGUCUUUCUACUUUGUCUGCAAUAUGGUGGGCGAUAUGGACUGAGCGAAAUAACACUAUCUUCCGUUCGACACCCCCCAACCCUCUGUGCUCGCUAGAUCGUAUUAACGUCCUCCUAAACAAUUGAGCAUUUUCUGCUGAGCGCUGACCGUUUAUUUAGCUCUUCCUUUCUUUUUCGUCUUUUCUUCUUUUUUUUGGCUCCUCGCACUUUUUCGUUUUCCCUCGGAUGCCUUAGCUGCAUCCACCUUGUAAGCCUAGUUCAUCCCCUUAAUGAAUGAAGCGGGUAGUUCGCUACCUUAUUCUCAAAAAAAAUAAUAAUAAAACUUAACAAAGUUACUGUUAAAUGGGUAAACUUCAAUUUACCCAUUAUGGUGUGGUUCAACAAGACCAUCCAAUGAUUUAUCGGUAAAUAAAGUAUUAUUUUAUAUUUUUUAAAUAAUUUAUUUUGCUAUUUUAUUCGACGGCAGAUUUUUAUGGUAAAAUAAAAAUAAAAUAAUGAGAUAACUAACUAUAAUUUUUGAACCACGGGAUAGUAAAAUGUUAAUACACUACACCAUAUUAGGAAAAAUUGAAAUUUAUCUUUAUUUUAUUUAAUAAAAAUCUAAUUAAAUUAAUGAAAAGGUUGAGAAUUUAUUUCAGUCACUGUGCAUUUUCUUUUAGGGAAAACUUCAAAACCCCCACGUGGUUUCACACUUUUUUAUUUUAGUACCAUGUGGUUUAAAGUGUAUCAAGUUAGUACCCUGUGGUUUCUCACUUUAUCACUUUAGUACCAUGUGGUUUAAAGUGUAUCAAAUUAGUACCUUGUGGUUUUGCACUUUAUCACUUUAGUACCCCGUGGUUUCACACUUUAUCACUUUAGUAUCCUAUGAUUUAAAAAACCACAGGGUAUUAACUUGAUACAAAAUUAAAACCACAGGGUACUAAAGUGAUAAAAUGCAAAACCACGGAGUACUAACUUGUUACACUUUAAACCACAGGGUACUAAAGUGAUAAAGUGCAAAAUCACAGGGUACUAACUUGAUACACUUUAAACCACAGGGUACUAAAGUGAUAAAGUGAGAAACCACAGGGUACUAACUUGAUACAUUUUAAACCACGGGAUACUAAAGUGAAAAAAUUGAAACCAUAAGGGGGGUUUUUGAAGUUUUCCCUUUCUUUUAACUUAACACGAUAUGCAUAUUACGUAGCACACUCUCCACUAUAUAUAUUUUGUGAUAAAAAUAAUUAUUAUCUAUAUUAUAUAUAAAAGAGUAUAGGAAUUCUAACAAUGACAGACGAAAUUCAAAAAAGAAAUAAAAUAAUAUUCUCUACGAAUGGUUAUGAUCGGUUAUGACUAAUCAAUUAAAUCUCUGCUAUAUUCAAAAAAAAUAAAAUAAUAUUUACUACGAAUAGUUAUGAUUAAUUUGUUAAAAAUAUCUCAAAUAAAAACGAACGGUUAUAAUUGUUACUUUAUAUAAAUAUUUCUUUGUGCGGGAAAUUAUGCAUUCCUUAUAUUAGUGUAUACUAUAUUAGUUUUCUUACCAAUUCACAACUCACCGUGUAUUAGCUUGAUCUCUGCUUAUAUAAAGAGGUCUUUUGUAAUUUAUCAAAUUAGAAAGAAAUAUAUUUUCUUCUCCAAUUAUUCUUUGUUUCAUAGUAUCAGAGCGCGACUAGCUUAAUACGCAAAAGCUCGUCGUCACAAGAUCGCCGUCGGUAUCUCUCGACCUAAUUCUGUCAUGACAUCCACACCUCCAUCGAUGCCGCCUGUACAGGUUCCUACACCAACACCUCCAUCAAUGCCGCCUGUACAGGUUCCUGCAUCGACUAUUGCCCAGCUCGAUGUUAAACUCUCCGGGCCUAAUUAUCGUGAAUGGUCGGUGUUCAUUCAACUCUUGUUUGAUGCUCUCGAUCUUACUGGACAUAUUGAUGGUGCUGGUCCACCAACCGAUGAUUCCAAACUCAAGGACUGGCUCGUUGCUGAUCGACGUGCUCGUGGAAUUAUUUCUACAUCGGUAAACAUAGAUAUUCGGAUGCAGCUUAUCAAUUGUCCACCACUCAUCAGAUGUGGUCUCUUCUUCGGCAGAUGUAUGAGCAGUCUAGUUAUGCUCAAUCAUAUGCUGAGUUUCAAGAGAUCUCCAUGGCUCAUCAAGGUGAGCGUAGUAUCCAAGAGUUUUACAGUUUUAUGCAGGCUCGUUGGCGUCAACUGGCGACCAUGGAUGAACCCUUGUGUCGCACUUGCUCAGCUUGUCAGUGUACUGUCAAACAAAAGCAGGUGCGUGAUCAACAACGAUUGUUCCAGUUUCUUAUGCGCCUACGACCUGAGUUUGAAGCAUUACGUGGCCAACUACUCCAUCGAACUCCCUUCCCUACUAUUGAUGUGGCUCUCGCGGAAUUGAUUGCUGAGGAGACACGUCUUCGAGUUUUGAGUUCCUCUUCUUCCGCAAUGCCUAACGUUCUUGCUGCUCAUGGUCCUGCAAGUCCACAUCCCGUGCCAGCGCCUACUUAUCAUCAACCGCCUUCUAGUUACAUUCCAAAUCCUGGUACUAGAAAAGACAAACGAAGCAUUCAAUGUCGUUACUGUCAUCUUUGGGGUCACUCAAUUCAAGAUUGCCGGAAAAAGAAGUGGGCAGAUCAGCAUUUACGAUCCUCUCGUAAUAUGCCUACUGUUGCAUCUGCUCCUUCUGUUCCUCCGGUCAACAACGCGUCAUCUACAGAGCAGCAACCUUCAACUAUUCAAUUGAGUCUUCCUCAACUACUGCAGAUGUUUCAGCAACACCAAUUGACUCCAUCCACUUCGUCAGGGCAGUCCUCCUCUAUCUUUUCAUCUACGCCAUCAGGUUUUGGUAUGACUGGUCCUGGAGGUACUUCGGAACAUUCCUGGAUUUUAGACUCAGGCGCAUCAUUUCAUAUGACACCACAUGCUUCUGUACUUUCUUCACCUUCUCAAUUAAAUUCACCUUCACAUAUUUUUACUGCUGAUGGUACCUCUCUUUCUGUCAAUAAUAGUGGCGUUGUUUCACCUAAAUCUGAUACUUCAGGACGCUUUACUAUUCCCUCUGUCUUACAUAUACCUCGACUCUCUCUUAACUUACUAUCUGUCAGCCAAAUUACUGAUCAUGAUUGCACAAUGACCUUUGAUUCUUCUUCUUGUCUUGUGCAGGAUCGUCGGACCGGGACUUUGAUUGGACAGGGCCAUAGACGUGACUGCCUGUACUACAUGGACUAUCUGCAUCUUCCUCCUAAAAUUAAUUCAGCAAAUAUUGCUACAACUUCAAAUUCUAAUCUCUGGCAUCGUCGUCUCGGUCAUCUUUCUUCUGAUAAGUUUACUGUUUUAGUUCGUAGUGGCGUAUUAGGUCCUGUUUUUAAUUCCUAAUCUGUUUCUUGCAUUGGAUGCAAACUUGCUAAACAUUCCAUUAAACCUUUUCCUGUUAGCAAUUCUAUUUCAAGUGCACCAUUUGAUCUUAUUCACUCUGAUAUUUGGGGACCAGCACCUAUAUCAACUCGUGUUGGAAAUAAAUAUUAUGUUAUUUUCAUUGACGAUUACUCACGCUUUACCUGGGUUUAUUUUAUGCAUAACAAAUCUGAAUUUUUUCAAUUGUAUCAAAAUUUCGCUGCCAUGGUUCAAACUCAAUUUGGUGCCACUAUUAAAACUUUCCGCUCUGAUUCUGGUGGCGAGUAUCUUUCAAAUGAAUUUCGCCAACUUCUCGCUAAGCAUGGUACUUUGCCACAACUCUCUUGUCCUUAUACUCCUCAACAGAAUGGUGUUGCUGAGCGUAAACACCGACAUAUCCUUGAAACCGCUCGAUCUCUUCUAAUUGAUGGGUCUGUGCCUAAACAAUUUUGGGCAGAUGCGGUUUCUACCGCAGUUUAUCUGAUUAAUAUUAUGCCCUCCAGUCUUUUCUCCGGCGUUUCUCCUAGUGAGCGAUUGUAUGCUAAAUCACCAUCUUAUACUCAUUUGCGUGUUUUUGGAUGUACUUGUCUUGUUCUUUUGCCUCCGCAUGAACGAACCAAAUUAACUCCAAAAUCGUCAAUUUGUGUUUUCUUAGGAUAUAGUCUUGAGCAUAAAGGGUACAGAUGUUAUGAUCCUACUGCUCGCCGCAUGCGAAUUUCUCGAGAUGUCAUUUUUCUUGAACAUGUAUCAUAUUAUGCUCAAUCUAAGUUAAGCGUUGAUACUUCUGCCGUUUCUUCACCUUCUGUUAUUGAUCUUUCAUUUCUUGUUAAUUCUUCGUCGACCACCACAUCUUCUCCCGAAGAGCCCCAACGAAUUGUCGCUCCGCCCACUGAAUCUUCGUCUUCUGCAGAAGUUUCUAUAGUACCGGCACCACAUGACGACCCACCAAUUACUGUUCCUUCCGACGAUCAAACGACUGCUGAGCGUCGCUAUCCACUGCGUACUCGCCGCCCAACACAAUUUUUUGGUUGUCUUGCCUCUCCUUCUUUUUCUCCACGAUAUCAUGCUUUCUUUGCAGCCAUCUCUAAUAUCCAGGAACCCCGUACAUAUCGCCAGGCCGUUUCCAUUCCUGAAUGGCGAGAUGCAAUGACCACCGAACUUACUGCCCUUCAUCGUACUGGUACUUGGGAACUAGUUCCUCUCCCGCCGGGCAAGACUCCAAUAUGUUGUAAGUGGAUUUAUAAAGUCAAGACAAAUUCUGAUGGCUCAAUUGAUCGCUAUAAAGCCCGUUUAGUUGCUCGAGGGUUCUCUCAAGAAUAUGGCAUUGAUUAUGAGGAGACAUUCGCCCCUGUUGCUAAAAUGACCUCUGUUCGCAUCCUUAUUGCUCUUGCUGCCUCUCGUAGCUGGCCUCUUUAUCAACUUGAUGUCAAAAAUGCCUUCUUACAUGGGGAUCUUCAUGAAGAAGUUUAUAUGCAACCACCUCCUGGUCUUUCCCAUUCAUCUGGUCAUGUUUGCCGGCUACGGAAGGCUUUAUAUGGCCUUAAACAAGCUCCCCGAGCUUGGUUUGAAAAAUUUCAGUCUGCUAUUCUUUCCUUUGGAUUUCAUCAAAGCGAAAAUGAUCAUGCCUUAUUUAUUCAUACAUCUUCUCGCGGGCUCACUGCCUUACUUUUGUAUGUUGAUGACAUGAUAAUUACUGGUGAUGAUCCUGAUUGUAUUCGUUCCGUUAAAUCCUAUCUUCAGCAACAAUUUGACAUGAAGGAUCUUGGUCCUCUUCGAUAUUUUUUGGGGAUUGAAGUGGCAUAUAGUCCUCGAGGAUAUAUAUUGUCUCAACAAAAAUACACUGCCGACUUGCUAUCUCGUGUUGAGCUAACUGAUACUGACACUGUGAGUACUCCUAUGCAGCUCCACCAAAAACUAACUCCAACUAUGGGCGAACCUCUCACUAAUCCUACACGUUAUCGUGAGCUAGUUGGUGCAUUAGUCUAUCUCACUAUAUCUCGCCCCGACAUUGCUUAUGCGGUUCAUAUUGUUAGUCAAUUUAUGCAGGCGCCUACUUCUGUUCACUAUGCUGCUCUUUUACGCAUCUUGCGCUAUUUACGAGGAAGUAUUCAUCAAAGUCUAUUCUUUUCUUCCUCUUCCAAGCCUCAACUUCGUGCAUAUUGUGAUGCUGAUUGGGCUGGAGAUCCUACUGAUCGUCGAUCUACGACUGGCUAUUGCGUUUUCUUUGGGGAUUCUUUGAUUUCUUGGCGUUCAAAGAAACAAGAUAGUGUCGCAAAAUCUAGUACGGAAGCUGAAUAUCGUGCUAUGUCCUCUGCAGCCUCAGAAAUUGUAUGGCUUCGCCGACUCCUUGGUGACCUCGGUGUCCAGUGCUCUAGUCCAACACCUUUAUAUUGUGACAAUCAAAGUGCUAUCAAAAUUGCGAAUAAUCCUGUCUUUCAUGAACGUACUAAACAUAUCGAAAUUGAUUGUCACUUUGUGCGCCAUCAUUACAUUAAUGGAACGAUAUCUCUGCCGUUCGUUCCCUCUGCUCAACAACUUGCUGAUUUUUUCACCAAAUCUCAGACCACUCAACGACAUCAGUACCUUCUAUCCAAACUCUCAGUGUUUACUCCACCUUGAGUUUGCGGGGGGGUGUUACUUUAUAUAAAUAUUUCUUUGUACAGGAGAUUAUGCAUUCCUUAUAUUAGUGUAUACUAUAUUAGUUUUCUUACCAAUUCACAACUCACCAUGUAUUAGCUUGAUCUCUGUUUAUAUAAAGAGGUCUUUUGUAAUUUAUUAAAUCAGAAAGAAAUAUAUUUUCUUCUCCAAUUAUUCUUUGUUUCACUAUCAACAUAUAUAACAAUGUCCACAUCAAAACCGGGGGAAAAAUACCACCAAAAAAAAGAAUGUGGUAGAGUAUGUCUUUAUAUGUACAUAUGAAAGAACUUUCUUAAUCAAGAAUAUGGUGCACAGUUGUUGUCAAAAAUGAACUUCUACGUACGUACAUAUAUUAUUAUAAAUAAAGACAACAUUGAUUGGGUUGUAAUAGUCAUACAAUGACAAAUAAGUCAAACAAAACAAAUAAAUCUUAUGACUAUAUGAUAAUGAUCAUUAAUUCCAAGUCAUCUACAAAUUACAACACACACACGCAAAUAUAUAUAUAUACAAAUUGGAGCAGAUACUUAUACCUUUCAGUUUGGUUUGGAUCUCAUUCGAUGGACAUAAAAUUUUAUGUACAUGUUAAUAAAUAAUACGAAACAACCGUAUAUUAUAUUUAACACUGCCCUCACGUUUGGACUCGAAAUAUUUUGUUAAGCCCGUAAUGUACGUAGACUUAAAUUUAAAAGAAGAAUUAAGAGUCUGACAUGAUUCGAACUUAGAACUUUUUAUUCUAACAUCAUGUUAAAUAAUGCAAAAUAAUCAUUAUUCUCCAUUGAAUAUAAAUAUUAAAAAUAUCGUGCUAUGACAACUUAAGUUUUUGAGAAAACUGUUGUUUCAUAUAACUUAACACAUAUGAUCUUGAGUAACAUCCCUACAAUCAGAUUGAGAUGAAGGAUCAUAGCCUAUUUAUAUAGUCCGACUACUAUUCUCGUGAAAGGACUGAGGCAUUUUUCAUAGUAAAUCAUUUUUGAUGGUCGGAAUUGAUAAUAGGUUUUGAUCUAGACUAUUCGAAAGGUCUAAAGUCCUAAUUUGUAUUUCUAAAAUUGUUAUCAAGUUCAUCAAAGAGUCGCAAAAUGAGCGGCCGAAAAUGUAUAACCCGGUAAACUUGGAUUUUAGACCUCCUCAGUUAAAGAUCGGAGUUGUCAAAUAUUAUCUAGAUCGUAAAAAUAAAAAAAUUAAAUAGUUUGAAUUAUUCGACAUUGUUAAUGAGCAAGUGUGCAAUAUAGCAUGUUAAAAACUAUCGAUUUUGAGCUCUUUAAUAACAAAGUAAAUAAUUUUUAAAAUUAUAAAAUUUAGUUUCUAGACAUUUUCAAUACUUUAGACCAACUCUAAUGGUGCUGUUCCUUGAGUUGAUUUUGAAAUCCCACAAUCAAACAAUGACUUGAUACAGUGAAGAUCCCCGUCCUUCUAAAAAUAUAAAAGACUUUUAGUAGCUGCAGAGGUACGGAUUUGUCUCUACAAAAUUUUAAAUAUCAAAAAUAUUUUUAUAACUCCUCAGAAGUUCAAAAAUAUUGCCAAAUUUUCUAACCAUACCGUGGGUUGGCCAUUAAUUUUUCGCUGUUACGAUCAUUAUCAAGAUUUCUUAGGAGCUUAGGACUUUGAAUUGAGAAUAUAUAUACAACAUGCAUGAAUGAUAGGAUAAGACGAUAGAAAUUAAUAAUAUUAUUAAUCUGCAAGUUUACUAUUUAAUCUGUAGAGCUGUACUUACAAUUUUAAUAGAAAGGGCAAUACUACUUUUGAGAAACUAAUCUACAAGUUUACUAAUUUGUAGGGAUAUGUACACAAAUUUUCUAAACAUGCAAUUAAUCUGGCAGUUACACUAUUGAUAAUUCAAAGCAGAUGAAACCAAUAAUUUAAGUUCAAAGACUUAAAAUUCCUCAUUAUUGUUUAAUAAAUCGUGCACCAAUUACUAAGAAUAUGUAUUUGAUGCACGUUUCUCGCUAGGGUUGAGAUCGAAUACUAAUUUUGCCGAUAUUCUAAAAACUAUAUAACUUUACAUGAUUCUGGGAUCGUGUCCUUUCUUUUGAUCCUAGAUAAAGCUAUAUAUAGAGAGAGAGAGAGAACUUUACAUGAUUCUGGGAUCGUGUCCUUUCUUUUGAUCCUAGAUAAAGCUAUAUAUAGAGAGAGAGAGAGAACUUUACAUGAUUCUGGGAUCGUGUCCUUUCUUUUGAUCCUAGAUAAAGCUAUAUAUAGAGAGAGAGAGAGAGAGAGAGUAUGACUAUUAUACUUUUAUGAUUAAUUAUAGAGUCCUUUAUACUCAUAAGCUGUUUUCGAUGAUAGAGCUUUCGAAUCGACGAUCCAUUCCGUUAAAUCUAGAGUAUUUGCAACUUAAAAAAAAUUUGUAAUUUUUCAAAAUCAUAAUAAAGUCCAUCAAGCAGGCAUAAUUAGAAUGAACAAUCAAAAUCGAACGACGUUCUAAAAAUAGAUGAUUAGAUUUUUCAAUUUAAAAUCGGAGUUACUGAUCUUUAUCUAGAUAGCAAAUAGAAUUUUCUAUCAAAAAUUCAACCGAUUCCGAUUCUUUUAUACCAAACUAACAAGUAUUCCAUACUGACCGUUAACAAUUGUCAAUUUUGAGAUCUUUUGAUCAUAAGGUAAAUGAUGUCAAAAAAUUAUAAAAUUUAAUUUCUAAAAAUUUUAAAUGCUUUAGAUAAUGUUUAACGGUAUGAAUCGUCAAUUCGGAAGCUCUAUCAUCGAAAACGAGUUAUGAGUACGAAUACGAUUGUACUUGUAAGAGUGUUUACUAGUCGGACCCUAUAUAUAUAUAUAUAGAGCUAGGCUGGUAUAAUAUUGGUAGCACGGAAGCCUCCAUGCUAUCAAAUUAUUUUCAAUGAUGCAGUUUCCAAAUCGACGAUUGGCUCUGCUAGACUUGAUCUACACUGAGUAUUUGAAAAUUAAAUUUUAUAAUUUUUCGACAUCAUUUGGCUAAUGAUCAAAAAACUUUAAACUUGACAAUUUUAAUGGCCGAUGUGAUGCGUUUGUGAAUUUAACGGUGUAAAACAAUCCAAAUCUGAUGAAAAUUUUAUAGAAAUUUUUUUCACUAUUUAGAGUAAGAUCAAUAUCUUUGAUCUUAAAUUCAAAUCAUUUAUCAUCAUUUAGAGAUUUUUAUUUUCAGCCAUUCAUUUUUAGACUACCCGUUUGAUAGGUAAAUAAUAUUAAAAAAUUACGAAAUUUAGUUUCCAAAUAUUUUCAAAAGUAUAGAUCAAGUCUAGUGGAGCCGAUCGUCGAUUUGGAAGCUGUAUCAUUGAAAACAACUUGGUAGUACGGAGGCCUCCGUACUAUUAAUAGUAUACCAACCUAGCUCUCUCUCUCUCUCUCUAUAUGUAUAUAGUUGAGCUAGAAUACUAUCGGUAGCAAACGAGCUCGGUGGCAAAAGGCCUUGAUGGUUGAUACCCGAGAUCCAAGUUCGAAUCCCAGUUGAUUCACAUUUCUAGCUAAAUUUAUUUCUAAAUGAAAUAGACGAAGCGGGUAGUAUGCUAUCUUUCUCUCCAAAAAAAAAAAGAAAAAAAAGCAAACGAGUUUGGUUGCUACCCAUUUGUUUUCGAUGAUGGAGCCUUUAAAUCGACAAUCGACAUCGUUGAAUAUGAUCUAUAUCGCUUGAAGUAUAUAGAAACCAAAUUUUUAAUUUUUUUCAACAUCAUUAACCUAAUGAUCAAAUGGUUUCAAAAUUUGUAAUUUUAAUACUCGAUAUGAAACAUUUUCUCGUUUAAUAGUGUAAAGAUAUCCAAAUCGAUUGAAUUUUGGUUAGAAAAUUUUUUAAACUAUUUAGAACAAGAUCUAUAUUCUCGAUCUUGAUUACAAGAUUUCUAUCAUCACUUUUUAAAGAACAUUCAUUUUCAGCUGUUCAUUUUGUGUCCACUUGAUGAAUAAGAGAACAAUAUCGAAAAUGCAUGAAAUUUUAUUUCUAGAUAUUUCAAAUGGUACAAACAAUGUUCAAUGGCACCGAUCGUCGAUUUGGAGGUUUUAUCAUAAAAAAUAGAUGGAUGGCAACGUGGCUUGUUUGCUACUGAUAGAAUUUCAGCUCAACUAAUUAUAUAUAUAUA
rnacentral:lncRNA from 1 species